rnacentral:lncRNA from 1 species
UGGACAAAGGUGUAGUCACUAACUCAUCAAACUAAAAUACUUUAGAUAAAUUGCCAACGUCAAGGACUAUAGAUAAAACAAGUGUCACGCGACAAAUGAUAAAUAAGCUGGAGGCCAGAGAUAAAACAAGUGUCACCGCAACAAUAUGGUGUUUAGGGCCAUGGAUAGAACAAGCGCCUCAUGACAAAAGAAUAAAUAAGUUGGAGAUUAGGGAUAAAACAAGUGUCACUGCAGCAAUACGGUGUCAAGGGCCAGGGAUAAAACAAGUGCUUCAUGACAAAAGAAUAAAUAAGCUAGAGACGAGGGAUGAAACAAGCGUCACCGCAGCAAUACGGUGUCAAGGAUCAGAGAUAAAACAAGCGCCUCAUGACAAAAGAAUAAAUAAGCUGGAGACAAGAGAUAAAACAAGCGCCACCACAGCAACAUGGUGUUAAGGGUCGGGCUAAAAUAAGCACCUCAUGACAAGAAUAAAUAAGCUGGAAACUAGGGAUAAAACAAACGUCAUCACAACUAAAAUUAAAUUGAUAAAUGUCAUUCAUGAAUGCUUGUAUGCAUGUAUAUGCUUACUAAGUCAUGCUUAUUUUAAUAGUUUACUUUUUUUCAAACAUUCUCUAGAUUCUUUUCAAAAGAAGUAAACGAGUCAAAGCAUACAAAAUAGGUGGUUUAUUUUUCACAAAAACGGUUAAUUAGGUAUCAUGAAGUUGGAAUGUAAUUUGGCUGCUAAAUUGCCUUGAAAUUCUCCUUAGAGUGAUCAUUUACCAAAUAAAACACCAUCUCUAGUCCUUGCGACCUAUGUUAGUAGGUCGAUAAAAGACAGUGAUUAUACAUAUUAGAUCUUGAUCUUAAAGUCCUUCCUUAGACUUUAAACUCUUCAUAAAUGAUGAACUUUAAAGGCUCUUAUAGUCUCUAAAACCAGGAAAUCUUCUUCAAAAUUGGCUCUCUCCUGCAAAUAACAAUGACAAACAUCAUGUGCUUUGCAAUGUAGUUUUACUCAGAUGGAUGAUACUUGAACUUUGACAUAGAAAGGAAAUUUCACAUUAUAUAUUAAAUAAGAGGAGACUGCCUUUAAAUGAUCUUUGAUUUAAUCCAUUUUAUGAGCAACAACGACGAAGAUUAUCAGAUAUCUUGUAACAUAGUCACUUCCAAAUUAAAUAUUUUGGCUUUCUGGUUGAACAAUCCUCUUGUUCUCUAUUCCAACAUCUCGAGGCAUAACAUAUUUUAAUUCUUCUCCUUAUGGUUAAGAGAUGAAAAAGUGAAAUCAAACCUUCAUGUUGAUUUCAUUUAUGAAGUUUUCAUUGAUAUAAUUUUUUUUCACGACAAUAAAAAUGAAUAUACUUGAACAAAAAUAGAAGCCAACAGUCCAUUUUUAUUGUGGAAAAAAAGGAUACAUAUGGUUAUGAAGAUGUCAUCCAAUUCAACAAAAGAUUAAAAGAUGCCCCUAUUACAAAGGUCUUUUCUUGAUCUUGAGGGUAGCCAAUAGAAAAUAACCUUCCAUUUUUCUAUCGAUCUUAAGCAUUUCCUUAUUUCUAAUUGUGAUGGUCCAAAUUUUGCAAGCAUGAAGAAACCUAACUCACCAUAUGGAAUUACACUACUAAAGAUGUGAUAGGGACAAGUGCCUCGUUGUCAUUUCUUUGCUUUAUUUUUUUCUCUUCAUAGUUCACUUGUUUAAAUAAUGGUAGUGACACAAGUCUGAUAAUGCUCUACCCUGAGUUGAUCUCAUGCACUUCAUCUUUUUAUUUAGUGGGAUCAUACUUUUGAUAAUGCUAACUUCUACUUCUGCAUCAUUUGUAAUCCCUUCUCCUUUAAACUUCAUUAUCAUAAUGUAUGAGGUAUUUUACUACAGUAUGGAGCAUUCAUAACAUUGGUGAGAUUUCCUUACUCAGUCAAAGGAGGUUGCUUUUGCUCAACUGGUUUUUUACAUUUUUAAGCACAUUUCUUAAAAGUGGUUAAUGCUUCCUUUUCUAAACACUGAAGAUUUAAAUGGUAUGAGGCCAAACUAAUAAAUGUCAUUGUACUGUUUCAUUACUUGUGCACUUGGGAGAUAUCCAACUACAUAUACCAAUGAGCAGUUGAGCCAAUUAGGCUAUCUUCUUACGAACAAACAACUAAAAAGAGAAGGAUGUCAAUCCACUUCCACAAUGACAAUUUCUUGAACUUGGGUGUUGUAAUGAUGACAUUCAAGACUAAACACAGUUGUGUCGUCGUUUAAAGACCUAGGGUGUACCACAAAUUAGGAAAAUAAUAAUAAGAAUAAAAUAAAAAUUGGAUAUUAGGUUAAUAAAAUAAAAUUUCAUUUUCCUAAAAUAAAUUAAAUGAGAUAUUUUGAGAUUUUGUGAAAAAUAAAUUAAUAAAUCAAAUUGAAAUUAAAAUAUUUUUUAUUUAAAAUUAAUUUUUUUUCCUAAAAUGAUAUAAGUAAGUCAAAAGUGAUAUAUUUAAAACAAAUUCAUUUCUUUUUUUCUAAAAUAGUACAAAUAAGAUAAAUGUGAUAUUAAAAGAUUUUUUUAAAAUAAAUUGAUUUAAUUUUAUUUCUUAAAAUGAUAAAAUGAAAUAUGAUAUGAUAUUAUGUUAUUACUAAUUUUCUUACCAUUUUAUAAACAAACAAAUAAAUAAGUUUAGUCAUUAUUACUGAUAUUAUUUUUUUAAAAAAAUAUAUAUAUGUGUAUGAUAAAAUUAGGUGGCUAGAAUUAUUGUUAUAGUUAAUGUACUUAAGGAGCAUGUAAACUAUGUCGUAGAACGCAUGAAAAUGAGUUAAUAAAGAAGAUGUUUUGUUAUUUCCGAUGCAUUCUAUUAUUCUUAUUGUUUAGUAAUUAAAGGAGAUAAAGUGAACUAGGUGAUAAAGCCAAGAUUUUUAAAAAUUUUAAGUUGAGCGUUCUGGCGUUCCACUUGACGCGUCAAGGCUGCUCAAGUUGGGUUGCAUGCCACAUAGCAAAGUUAAGUCGCGUGAAGAGGGGUGUGACAAGAUCAACACACAGGUGUGAGGAAUCUCAUCGUAUGAGGUACAAAAGAUCAUCUCAUUUUAUCAUUAUAGUUCAUUUCAAAUCUAAAUCAUUUAUUAAAUCAAGUUUAUUUUAAAGAUUUGAGAUCAUAAGGGAAAUCAUAUAAUUGAAGAAUUCAAUAGAAAUGUGUGAAUAUAUAUAAGGUUUAGAAGCACAAGAAUUCCUUUUGGUUCAAAAAUAUUUUAAGAACCACUCACAAUCAAUUAGCUUCUUCACCCAGUUCCUUAGCCAAGAAUCUCCUUGCACUUCCUUUAAUUCCUUGUCGAACUCAAGCUCACGAUAAAUCUCUGAAAAUCUUGAAAUUCUUUCAAUUCUUUCUUAAGUGAACACAAGGUAAAAACAGCUUAAACAAUUGUCGAACUUCAUCUAUUUAUAAGUCUCUUCAGUGAGACUUUCCAUACUGAAAUGAUUACUUAUGUCCUACAGUGAGAUUUAGCUACCCAAUGUCAAAACCCCACGUGUAACUGUCAUUUCCUUAUCCUAAAUUCAAUUGGACGGUAAAGUCAUAUUAAUCGUCGACUUUCUUACAUCAGAAUGACAUCAUUACUUCCAAGUGAAGAAAGCUCACCUCACCCUCCAGUCCAUCGAUUAGUUCCUUUGCAUCGUGUAAUUAAAACAAAAAGCGCAAGUUGCAGAUUUUCCAAUCACCAUCUUUUUCGUGCAUCCAGUUUCAUCGCAUAACUCACUCUUGCUGCAUGAAAUCUUAUCGCAUAGUUUAGGAUGCGAUCAGGGUCUCACAUGCACUAAGGUAUGAUAGAUUAAUGUUUUUAGGCCAUUUAAAGAGGAAUAGAUUAAUGUUUUUUUAGGCCAUUUAAAUAGGAAAUGAUGUUGAAGUACUCCUAGAUUGACAAGUUGGUAUUGAUACCUUAGAAACCAAAAUUGUAACUUUAGACACAUCAUCAUCGAUUUAAAAAAAUUUUAAGCUCUUCUUAAUUAUUAAUAAUAAUAAAAAAAAAAGUAUGUAUAUAAGGUUUCACAUUGUACAAACAUCUUAGAAUCAAACCGUACUCAACUAAAUUUAUCCCACUAAUUCUUUAAAUUCCACCUAAAAAAUCCUCAAAAUUUAUACUAAUGUUGACAUUCACCAUUUUCAUUUGACCUCCAACAUAUUCUUUUUCAUUCACCACCAAAACCAACAAAUACACGAGACAUCUUGCAAGUAGGUAAGAAAAUUAAUAAAACAACCAAAACCUCGCGAUCAAAAUCAUUACAUACUCGGUCGAGAUUUGAAAUCUACACUAACCUCGAGGAUAAAUAUAAAUAAACUCAAUCGAUAUCUUUAACUUAGCAUCGAGAUUACGUAAGAAGAAACAAAAGAAAAAAUUGUUGGCCUAAUUAGUAUGAAAAUACAAGAAAAACGUAGUUUCUAAAGAAAAGUAAGGUAUUUUGGAAAAAUAUGAAAUGUGGUUGUGAACAAGAAAGGAAAGAAAAUAACUUGAAAUUGUUCAACAAGUAAUAUAAUAAUACUUAUGGAAUUGGGGGCAUUUUUCGUCACAAGCGAAAAAGUAAGAAUCUUGUGAUGGAUUUCACUAUAUUCAUAUUCAGCUAAGCCAAGGAUGCAUUUGAGGCACACCAACUAAAUAAGAAAUCUCACGCUCCAAUUCGGGCAACAUAACUUGAGAAAAAUACCAUAACAAUUAUUUAAAAUGUGUGUUGUUUUUAAAAUACUAAACCUAAAACAAGCCAUUUUAGACCAUUUCUAUUAUCAUAAAUAUAACUCAUCUUUUUCUCUAACUUUUUUUCACAUUCUCUAACUUUAUUUAUCUCUAAAUAGUGGAGUGAAUAGUUAUCUUUUUUUCACAUGUAAACGGAUGUCAUUUGAUAGUUCAUUAUAUUACUAACUUUUUUCAAACAACCACUGUUAUCAUUAUCAAUUGUAUCUAUUACAUUUAAACACACAUUUCAACAAUAACAUCCUAUUAGUAAAUAGCUAAAAAGACUUAAAAGACAUAUGCAUUCAAACGAUUGUGUCUCAUCAAGAGAUGGAAAAAAUAGGCCUUUAUCAUAAAUGCAGGAGCUUUUCCAAAAUAAAAUAUAAAAAUUGACUUAUUUAAUACAACUUAUUUUUUUUCUAUUUUUGACCAUUUUUGACAAUUUUUUAAAUGAUGAAAAUAAAACAGGUAGAUAAAGAUUCUAUCUCUGGUAGUCUCGUCUAUAUUUAUAAUAUAGAUAGAGAUAGAGAUAGGAAAACUGCUUAUUAAUUUUAGUUAACAGUUGAGUCUCGUUAGAAUCCAAACUUAAUAAGAAUCAAUAUAAUUGAAACUUUUUUAAAAGAAUUUAAAGAUGAAAUAUCCACAAAUUCAAAGUUUUUUUUAUUGUAAAUUUGUAAACGUCAAAAGACGGCCUUCAUGGAUAACCAUUAUCAUACCACUAUUUGCAUAUUUCUUAAAGACAACGAUUAAAUUUUUAGCCACAAUUUAAAAAAGAAACAACUUUUUUAAAGGAUAUUUUUUAAAAUAGCAAAAUAAAUUAAAAUAUUUACAAACUAUAGCAAAAUUUUAGAUUCUAUCAAUGAUAGACUUCUAUCAUUAUCUAUCAAUGUAACUGAUAGAAGCAUAUCAUGGCUGAAAAUUUUACUAUAUGUUAUAAAUAUUAGAGGCGUUUGCAAAAAUAGCAACAAAAAAAAAAAACCGUAAACCCUUCCACAGUAAGAUUGUAUUAUUUUAAAUAUUUUGUCAAAUUUGCUAUUUUUUUAUAAUUUUCUUUUUUAAAGCUUUUUUUUUAUUUUUAAAUUUUAACUUAGUUUUUUAACCUAUCGGUAGAAUAUGGAUAAAGAAGGAAGAAAUUAAAUUUGGAGAUAGAAGUAAAGUAAGGAAUGUUAUAAACAUUUUUCUUAUUUCUAAACUAAAGAAUGCAAAUAAAAAUUUAAGGCUUGAAAAAUCAAACUCAUGGAGACUCACCUAAUAGUGUUUUAAAUCUUAUAAUUUUCCUAAACCCUUUCGACGUAAGAUUGUAAUAUUUUAAUAUUUUGCCAAAACGAAAACAAUAUCAUUAGUUUCUAAAGGUUGAGACCCUCAUUUUCAUAAGAAAGCCGUAGUGGUGUAAAAAAAAAAACAAAGAUUAAGAUCUUGUUUAAACUAUAGGUAACAUUUUUGGUUAAAUGAAAUGGAGUGGAAGGUAUUUUGUUGACCAAAAUAUUGAUUACACAUCAUGUGAGUACAAAUUGGGUAGGACCCUCUUUUUUAUCAUUUCUUUUCUUUUUAAAGUACAUUAAUAGAUUAGUGGAAGAUACUAAUUUGGUAAACAUUUGAAGUAUAUGAUUUCAGAUUUUGGAAGCCAUAUAAUUUGCAUUAAACAUGAGAUUUUGAAUAUCUAUCCAAUGAAUUAAACUUAUUGGUAUUAAAAGCAAAUGAAGUGAAGAAGGAUUGUAUAUAUAAUAAAUAUAAAAUAAGUUGCAUCAUAAUGAUUCAUUCCCAAAAUCUAAAUAGAAAAAUGGGGAAAUUAUAGUUGAGAAAAUCCAAAAGACAGAACCUGGAUAGUGAAAUAAUAUACCAAUAAAGCAUGUUGUCCCAUGAUACAUACAUUACAACAUUACAACAUUACAACAUUACACCAUCACCCUCUCUCUCUGUUUUUCUGCACCACUUACUUACUUCCUUACUUCCUUACUUACUGCUUUUUCUUCCCUUUUCCUUUUUCUUUUUUCCAAAUAACCAAACCCCAAUACCCAAUUUCAUCUUCUUUCAUUCACUCUCCCUCUCCAUUUCUCGUGACUACUAACUCUCUCUCUCUCUCUCUCUCUCUCUCUCAGACCCACAAAUCUGUUUUUCCCUUCACAACACUACACUUUCACUCAAAUGGGGGAAACCCCUCUUACCAUUUCUCUCUACUAAUCUCCUUUUCUUCUCCUUUUUCGUCUGCGAUUCAAUGUUUCCUCCUUCAUUGCUACUUCAGGUUUUCUUUUAGUGCUCUUUUUCUUCUUUCUUCUUUGUUUGCCUUUCUGGGUUUUACCACUUUUUCCUUCAUUUCUUUCAGUUUUUUUUCUUUUUUUUUCUUUUUUUUUCUUUUUUUUUUGCUUUCGCCUCUUCUGACAUUUUAAGGGGUUUUUAUGUUUUCUUGUCUGGAAUGUUCUUGGGACUACUCUGCUUCCCCCUUUCAUGGGUUUUGUUAGAAAUUCCUCUGCUUAUUUAAGUGGUUAGUUAAUGUGGUGUGAAACUGGGAGGUUUUGUUGCUUGGGCUUUGCUUUCAUUUGGUCUACAAUGGGUUUUUGCCAUGAAAUGUGUUUUUCAUAGAGGAAGAUCUGGUCUGGCUGCUUCAAAAUCAAAAGGGUUUUCUGUUUUUGUGAAAUAUUUCCAUCUUUAUGGCCUUUUUGUGUUUUUGUUCUCUCUCCAUUUUCCUUGUUGUUGGGCUUCUUUCAAAUUCCCAGUUCUUGGGAGCUCAGCUUGAUGAUCAAAUCACUAUGUCCACCAUUAGAGAAGAGCUUCAAGUUCCUGGGUGGAGCUCUAGCAUCUCUGAGUACUGCUCUUGGAAAGGUGUUCAUUGUGGUUUGAAUCACUCCAUGGUUGAAACUCUUGAUCUUUCUGGUCGUUCUCUUAGAGCUAAUUUAACUAUGAUUUCUGAGCUCAAAGCUUUGAAGUGGCUUGACCUAUCCUACAAUGACUUCCACGGCGAGAUUCCGUUGAGUUUUGCAAAGUUACCGGAGCUCGAAUUCCUUGAUUUGUCUUCGAACAAGUUUGAUGGUUCGAUUCCGCCUCAGUUUGGUGAUCUCAAGAACCUCAAAUCAUUGAACCUCUCCAAUAAUUUGUUGGUGGGAGAAAUUCCAGAUGAACUUCAAGGCUUAGAGAAGUUGCAAGAUUUUCAAAUUUCUAGCAACAGGUUAAAUGGUUCAAUUCCAAGUUGGGUUGGAAAUUUGAGUCAUCUAAGACUCUUUACAGCCUAUGAGAAUAACUUUGAUGGUAUGAUUCCGGAUAAUCUUGGUUCAGUUUCUGCGCUCCAAGUAUUGAAUCUGCAUACGAACAGGCUUGAAGGCUCGAUUCCUAGAAGCAUUUUCGCUUCGGGGAAGCUUGAGAUUUUGGUUCUUACACAAAACAGAUUGACUGGCAAUCUUCCUGAAGAGAUUGGGAACUGCCAAAGGCUUACUAGCGUUCGAAUCGGUAACAAUAAUCUUGUUGGUGUAAUUCCUCCGGCCAUUGGAAAUGUUACUAGCCUUGCUUACUUUGAAGUGGAUAACAAUCACCUUUCAGGCGAUAUAGCGUCUCAGUUUUCGAGGUGCUCUAAUCUUACCCUGCUGAAUCUAGCCUCGAACGGAUUCACUGGGAUGAUUCCUCCUGAACUUGGAGAGCUCAUGAAUCUGCAGGAGCUUAUUCUUUCUGGUAAUAGUCUGUAUGGUGACAUUCCGGGAUCAAUGCUCGAAUGCAAGAAUCUCAACAAGCUUGAUUUAAGCAGCAAUAGAUUUAAUGGUACUAUUCCCUCAGAUAUAUGCAAUAUAUCAAGAUUGCAGUACUUACUUUUGGAACAGAAUUCAAUCAAAGGAGAGAUACCUAAUGAGAUUGGAAAAUGUACAAAGCUUCUUGACCUGCGACUUGGUAGUAACUAUCUAACUGGAAGCAUCCCUUCUGAGAUUGGUCGUAUUAAGAACUUACAGAUAGCUUUGAACUUGAGCUUCAAUCAUCUAAAUGGACCAGUGCCUCCUGAGUUGGGAAGACUUGAUAAACUGGUUACUUUAGAUUUAUCAAACAAUCAUCUCUCGGGCGAUAUCCCUUCUGAGCUCAAGGGCAUGUUAAGCUUGAUAGAGGUGAAUUUUUCAAAUAAUCUGCUUACAGGUUCAAUUCCUUUCUUUGUUCCAUUCCAGAAAAGUGCAAAUUCUAGUUUUCUGGGGAACGAAGGCCUUUGCGGGGCGCCACUCAGCAUUACGUGUAAGAAUUCAAUUGGUCCAUACAAUCAAGAUUACCAUCACAAGGUCUCAUACAAGAUCAUACUGGCUGUCAUCGGUUCCGGUCUGGCAGUUUUUGUAUCGGUUACUAUAGUUGUCCUACUUUUUGUGAUGAAGGAAAAGCAGGAAAAAGCAGCAAAAUCUUCAGGGACCGCAGAUGAUGAAACUAUCAAUGACCAACCACCGAUAAUAGCAGGAAAUGUCUUCGACGAUAAUCUCCAACAGGAAAUCGAUCUCGACGCAGUCGUUAAAGCAACUUUGAAGGAUUCAAACAAGCUCAUCUUUGGGACUUUUAGUACUGUUUAUAAGGCGAUCAUGCCUUCGGGUAUGAUCAUAUCAGUUAAGAGAUUAAAAUCCAUGGACAAAACUAUUAUUCAUCAUCAAAGCAAGAUGAUUAGAGAACUUGAAAGGCUUGGCAAAUUGAACCAUGCUAAUCUUUUGCAACUCAUUGGAUAUGUAAUAUAUGAGGAUGUGGCUCUGUUGCUUCACAAUUACUUAACCAAUGGAACAUUGGCUCAGCUUCUUCAUGAAUCCACAAAACAACCUGAAUAUGAUCCUGAUUGGCCCACGAGAUUUUCCAUUGCCAUUGGAGCAGCAGAAGGGCUUGCUUUUCUUCAUCAUGUGGCCAUAAUCCAUCUUGAUAUUUCAUCAUCUAAUGUUUUUUUAGAUGCCAACUUCAAACCUUUGGUUGGAGAAGUUGAGAUCUCAAAACUUUUAGAUCCAUCAAGAGGAACUGCAAGUAUUAGUGCUGUUGCAGGUUCAUUUGGCUACAUUCCACCAGGUACUUGCUUGAAUCUCCAUAGUUUCUCUUAUGAGUUUAUGAUUUUUUUCUCUCCUUAUUAUUUUGAAUUCUAACUGUUUGCUUUCGGCUCAGAAUAUGCUUAUACAAUGCAAGUUACAGCCCCGGGAAACGUCUAUAGCUACGGUGUCAUCUUGCUUGAGAUCCUCACUACCAGACUGCCAGUUGAUGAGGAGUUUGGUGAAGGAGUAGACUUGGUGAAAUGGGUGCAUACUGCUCCAUCGAGGGGUGAAACACCUGAACAGAUACUCGAUUCCCGGCUGAGCACGGUGUCGUUCGGAUGGAGGAAGGAGAUGCUUGCGGCUCUCAAGAUUGCAUUGCUCUGCACUGACAGCAUACCAGCCAAAAGGCCAAAAAUGAAGAAGGUGGUGGAAAUGCUUUCGGAGAUUAAGCAAAAUUGAUCGGCUCUGCAACUUGCCCGAGUUUUCCAUGUGGAUUUUUUUUGAGGAAACGCCAUGCUAGAUGGGAAAAAACGAUUGAGAUGGAGAUUGAAUUUGAGUAAUUCACUAAAGCAAUUGUUUUAGUGAAGGUGGAAAUGAGUGUCCAUACAUAGUUGUAUAGUCGGGUGGUUGUUUUCUGAUAUCAUCAACCAACCAGAUUUGUGACAAAAGAAAGUAUAUUUACAUAAUGGUUGAUGUGUAAUCUCUUCUUUGAGUUUGAAUACGAAUGUGAGUUGCUCUAAUGAGAUUUUAGAGACUUACAUGUGCAGUGAAGUAAGGUUGAAAAGGAAUGUAGAUCAUAUAAUUCUUUAUAAUUUUCUUUGAGUAGAAGAUGAAAGAAAAAAAAUACAACGAACAUACAAAAGACCAAAUGACCAAAUGAGCAACUCUAAAGAAAGAAACUCCAAAUAAAAUACAACGAGACUCCCUCUCAUCUAUUCCUACAGAUAAUUUACUUUUACUAAACUAAGCUUUAAAUCUUUAACACUAUCGAUUUUUAAAAGUUAUCCAAAGAUGGUUGUUUUGAUAAGUCAACAAUCGAACAAUCUUUUUAAAAGAAAAAUAUACACAAAAAUAGAAUUUUGUUUUCCAACUUGAUACUUACGUAAAGAGGAAGUAAUGAUAAAUAAGUUAAAGGUCAUUUUUAUUGUUUUUGAAAUCACCCUAAAAUAAGUUUUUAAUCAUUGAAAACAACCAAAUUUUUUAUUAUUUGAAAAUUAAGCUUGAAAAGUAUAAAAUUUAAAUUGAUUUUGAAGUGUAUUUUAGAAUUAUUAAAAAUAUAACACACAUGGAAUCAUCAGAAAAAGAAACCAGAAUGAUUACAUAUUAUUUUCUGUCUAAAUCUAAAAUUUCAAACUUAAAAGAGAUUUAUUAAAAAUUGAGGUUAAGAAAACCCAAUUGAGAGGUAAGGAACUAAUAAACAAAAAAGAUAAAAACGAAAUGAGUUGAAUUUACAAAUGAGUCUAAAAUAUGCUCAAAUCAAAUAUGAACUUUAGAUUACAUUUCACUACAAAGUCAUUCCGUAGGGAGCCAAACAAACCCUUAAUUUCUGUUAAGAAUAAACAAGCCUGUGGAAGAAAGUUGAUCCCCAUGUGAGAGUUUCCAAGCAAAUUGGGUGUUGAGCAAAAGGACAUUAGCGAACCAAAGGAGCAGCAAUUCUAAAGGAAACAAGUUUUAUUAGUGAUUGUCCAGUUACAAAGAAUUGGACCAGACAUUCAAAUCUCAUAAAUCAAAGUAAAAAUAAGAACAAUGAUCAUUCUACAUUGUCUAAAAGAGACACGAGAGGAAGUUUCUUUUUUCACUGAUUUAUUUAGAAUCAACGUCCUGACACCAUCAACAUAAGAAGCCAAUGAUGCAACUUAAACAGGAAAUAAGAAUGUGCCUAUCACAACAAACAAACAAGAAAUCAUUAAGUUUCUCCGCUCAAAAUAUAAAGCAGAUUAGAACUGCUUAAUGACUAGGAAGUAUUUCCAAAAACAGAACCGAAUGUAAAAGUUGACAACCCAAGUAACAUUUAAGAUUCAGGGCGGGUUUUGACGAUGAAAUUUUGGCGACUGAUGGGGUUCAUGACUACAGGUGGACCGGCUGUACGAGGCCAUGCUUGGAAUUUUUUGUCAGUUUCUUCCAACCACUCGCUGUUUGAAACAGUACUUGGAGUUGUUCCUGAACAAGAAAGAAAUCCAUUGAAAAGAAAGAGACAUUAAGAAAUUAGAGAAAUGGAGGUACAACAAAGAAAUGGCAAAGCCAAGCAACGGUAGCAGAUCAAAGAAACUGUGAGACCAGGCCGAUAGUUACCUCCAAAUAUUUUCUUGUCAGAAAUAAGAUGGUCACAAAUAUAUGCAACUCCACAUGCUCCAAGUAAAGAACCUACUAUGUAUUUGGCUGCCAUCUUCUAACUGCAAUGAACUAAUAUGUUCCCAAAUCAAUUGAACCAUACUACACAUAAAAUUACGUCAAACUGCACCCAUACUAAACCAAUGUGGACUUGAACACAGACAGACACAUGCACAAAGACGACGAGGACCACAAACACAAACUACAACAGAAAAGUAGGACACAAACAAGUUGAAGAUAUGAAUUUUUAAAUAUAUAUAUGCAUCUAUUGACAUCUAAUACUCUUAAAAGUACAUGAGCAUGUAAAUUUAACAUUGUUAUAUGCACCCGUGGGGAAGAAAUAAGCGGCAGUGUGUGGUUUCUAUUUAUCUUUCAUACAGGUUUUCAGGACCAGGUGAAGUUUCAAACACAGCAACAGGUUCAGCAAUAAGAAUUGUAAAAGGUUCAAAUUACACCUUUUUUUUUUAAAUUUCGAGUUGAAGUGUUUGUGUGUCCUGCAAAAAGUCUGGAUAUAUCAGGGAAUUUAUCUGGUUAAUGUUAGUAAACUAAUAGGCAAUGAUAUCCUUUCACAAAAAAAAUCAGACAAUGAUGUAUUUAAUUUGGAUAUAGAAGAAUAAAGACUAAACUUGUAAUUUAACAAAUUCUCAAAUGUAAUUUAACAUAUAUAAAUGAAUAGGGGUGGAACUACAAAAUUUUCCCUAUCAUCUGAUAUGGCUCAAUAAGAUAUAGCUCAAACCAUUAAUAUAUGUUCCUUUCGCUUCCUGAACUAUUAUAUUUAUAACUAACAAAAAUGUUUGUGAGGACCAUGGCUGUUGGAAUGAUUCCUGCCAAGUCUUGCAAUGUGGAAAGCUGCAUGAUGCCAACAUGUUUGCAAAGACAACUUCCAUGAAUCAGAUGAACUUCUAGUAUUUUCUAAUUCACAACUUGUCGUUCUUCUUGUAUCUCGAAUCAACCUUUUCCUGUGGCCUUUUUCCUGGUUUCUUCCUUCUGUCCGAGCAGAUACUCGCCAUUAUCUCAUCAAUUGACAAAAUUUUCUCAAGAUUGCUAUCUAACAAGUUGCACGCAUUUAAGGCAGAUUGGGACAGAUCCGAAACAUCCGAUGUCCUAAGUUCUCCUUUAAGAUGUUCCAUCAAAACAAACCCAAUAGCCCGUUGCAUCUUCAAAUCAAAUUUCUCAGCUAAAUUUUCAUGACCAACUGCUUUUGCACGUUGGAGAACUAGCAUUUUAAUGCUAAUCAGCAGGUCAAGUUCUGAUUCAGAUAGUGAACAAAGCCAACUGAUACCUUCAAUUCUUUUAUUCUUCAAAAUUUCAUUCGCCUCUUCCAUAGAAAUCUUCCGCAAUAUCACUCCAGAAAAAACACCGGCGGCAGUGGUGCAACGGCUAAUGAGGGAGCCACAGUGGUGAAUUGUACGGGAGGGAGAGGAGCGGCAGCACUCUUGGUUUGUCUUUACAGCCUACAAAAAUCGUUAUCCAGAAGCUGAAUUUGUCUCCUAAUCCGAAGACUCACCGACGGCAAAGCCCCUACAAGUCCGUCCCUGUUUAGGGUUUCAGGAUUUGCAGCCCUAAUAGAGUUGGAAAGAAGAAGGAGAAGAUGAAAUAAUUUCAAAAAUACCCUCCGCAUUCUAAAAUUUAGGAUUAAACAAUUUGGUUAAUUUGGAUAUAUAUUGCUAAAAGUUUGGAAAGAGCUGCCUUUUCUCGCAAAUCCUUACUAGCCAUCUCAGACAAACCAUGAGAACUCCUAUAGGCCAUCUUGGAGAACGAAAUUCCCAAAAGGUUCAAAUAAGCAGCAGUUUACGGUCAUGCACUUUGGAUAAGUAGUUGGAAACUCUAGGGUUGCUUGAUUUCCCACUACUCUUAUAAAAUCCAAGUGUUGAGAAAAGUGUUAUCAAAUUCUUUGGUUCACUACUUUGCUAGGCUGCUGGGAUAGCUGUAUGGAGUAGCUCUAAAUAGCUUUUCCUUCAAAGAAAAGCAAAGAUUUAAUGGCGAAGUGUUGAAUGCUAAUAAGGAAAUUCCGAGAAGCUAAAUUACGGCUUCUACUUGGUGUGCACCAUCAAAACCAAUUGGUAAACUUGAAGUCAUUAUGCAAGAUCCUAUUAGCUCUAAGGCUUUAGGAUUUUCCCCAUUUCAUAGUUCUCAUAUCUUCUUGGUGUGUUGCUUUUAUUCAUAUACUUUACCGAAGUUGAUCAAGUUCAUAGUUUACAAUAUCAUGACUUAAGGUUUCUUCUUCAUUCUACAAGCAGUCUAGACAUUUUAAAUCAGUUGGAUGCAGGCAAAAUCCUAGCCGCAUAAUGCUUUGCAAUCCUUUCCAAAGCUUUCUAAGUAACUACUUCCGAGUCCAAAGUUCGAAUUCCCUCUUUUCAUCAAUAAUUUCACACUGAAUUAGCACCAACUUCCAAAUAUUCGAGCUCAUAUGCAUGAUAAAACCUUAUAUAGCUCAAAAUAUCUUUCUCAUAACCCGCAACAAGAAGCAGUACGCUUCAAGUUUAUAAUUCAAAACAUUACUGAUUAAAAAUCUCUCAAUCAAAUUCCAACAUUGAUAACAGUAAUAAGCUCUCCGUAGAAAGCAUAAAUACAAAAGCCAGAAAACAAGAAUCGAAAAUCAUUACAUCUACAUGUAAUAACCAAACAAUAAUAAAAAAAUAAAAUACUCAGGAACUCAUAUUGAUAACAGAUCACAAAAGGGAAAAGAAGAACAUAUAGCAAUUCUUAAUCUCCUUGCACUGCACAGAAUCGUGGUAAAAACAGAUUAAAAUGCAAACUACAGAGAUUAGAGGGAAAAAAGCGGCGGAUAACGAUUUUGCAGAGUAGGGUUUUGAUUUAAUAAAUUUAUAUCUUUCGAUUUAAACUAGAGUCAAUACAAUUUUAAUAAAUUUGUUUUAAAAGAAUCAACACAGCUACCAACAUAGGAUAAAGAACAAAAACAGCCACCAAAGAAUUGACAAUUUUACAUACCUCACAGAAUCACACGCAAGAAAUCGAUUUCUGAAAUGUGAGAAAGUAGAGAUCUGAAAUUUAAAUAAAAAUAAAAAUAAAUGUCAAAUGUAUAGAUGUAGGGAGAACCAAACGAGAGACGAGAGGAAAGGGCUGUGAGUGCGAGCGGCUAACUUAAGACAAAAAUGGGAAAAAAAAAAAAAAAAAAAAACCUAAAAUCUAAAAGGCUAUAUGACUAAACACACACAAGUGGCAUCACAAUAACAAAACCAUGAAUGAGAUUCCAGCGAUUCUACCAGACGUCAAAAGCUAAUAAACAUGAGAUUCCAUUUGAAUCGAAAGAUAGAAACAACCAACAGCUAAAAAAUCAAAGAUAGAGAGACAUACCGAUGUAAUUAGAGGUGAAGCGAUGAAGUUUAUGGAGAAAUUGGCAAAAAGGAAAGAUCUGGAGCCCUAAAUGAGGUGAGAGAGAUGAGACUGAUUCACGAAUGAAGAAAGAGUGGAAAUUGCCAAAAACUAGUUUUCUUUAGGGGAUGUGAAAAGUCCAAAUUGCCUUUUCAUUUUUCUAUAUAUAUAUAUAAAAAUAAAAAAUACCCUAAAAAUGCCUAUGGGUAAUUGUAAAAAAUAUAUAUACACACACUUACCGGCCCUUCACUCGAAAUAAAGAAUAUCCCUAGCAGGAUGGUAAUUUCACACAGGUGUUGCUGGUCGUCAGCUGGUGUGGUGAGAUGUUUGGUCAAGUCCUAUAACGAGCGAAACUUUAGUUUUGUGUUGCUCAGAUAUGCGUCUAUAGAGAAAUGCAACCAAAAUUCGUCGAGGUAUAUUUGAAAAAUGGACAAAAAUGACCCCUCCAACUUUAUUUUUCUCCAUUAGAUUACACUUUAUCACAAACUCUUUCCUUUUUAUCCCUUGAUUACGAGAGUGAUGUAAGCAAACAAAACUAUGUAUACUUAAAAUUGUGGUUACAUCCACAAUUACUAACCAAUUAACUAAAUUUUCCCUCUUAAUAUUAAUUUUUACUCAAUUUUGUAUGUUUAAUUAUUUUUCUACCCUUUCUCACUUAUUAUUAUAACAAAGAAUCAACCCGUUGUUUGGAUUUUAAGAUUGGAGUGUCCUAUCAAGCUUGGGGCUCCAACUAGGGGUGUACAAAUAUGGGUCGAACCUGAAUAACCCGAACUACCCAACUCAUAUUAUAAGAGUUUGGUUGGGUUAAGUUAAAAUAUGGGUUGGAUUGGGUUAGGUUAAAAAAAUUUGAUUUUUUCGGGUUGGGUUGGGUCGGGUCUUGGGUUGGAGGGUUAAAAAUUUUGGUUCAACCCAACCCAACUCAAAUUAAUAUAAUAUAUAAAUAAAUAUUAUUUUAAUAAAAAACAAAUUAAAGAUAAAAUUUGAAUGAUGUAUGUUUGAAAUUUGUUUGAAAUUUAAAUGUAAUGAUUUCAAACUUUUAUAGUCUUAGAAACUAGAAGAUGGAAAAAAAAAUUAAAAAUUAUAUACACAAUCCAACGACUAACUCAAUCCAAAUAACCCGAAAAUAUGGAUUGGGUUGAAAAUGUCUCUCAACUCAACCCAACCCAACUUGAUUUCACUCGUGCGAAAAAGAUUUCAAGCUAUAACUUAGUAGAUAAUCAUAUUUCACAAAUGUGGUAAUGUUGAAGAUAUAUUUCACUACUAAAUUUCUUUAAUUUUAAGACAAAAUAUAAAGUUUCUAAAUUCUUAUCAUUUAAUUAUUAUCAAUGCAACUAAUAUGAUAUGUAUUGUAAUUAAUUUUUGUGCGCGAUUCCUUUUGUAUUUUUCAACUAAGGCAUUUCUCUUUUUUUACAUAUACAUUUCUGACGAUACAUUCAAUUCAGUUUUGCAUCAUGAUAUGCAAUGGGUAUUUUCGUAUAUAGUAUGAUUUUUUUAUUCAUUUUAUUAAAUAAAAAAAUAAGGAUAAAAAAAUAAUGUUAUACCAUAUCUAACUUUGUACUUGGUUAAAUAUUAAGAUGAAUUCUAUUUGGUUUUUGGUUUAUUUAAUUUGUAGAAUUAUGUCAAUUACCAGUAUAUGAAACUCUGCAAAACAAUCUAUCUAUGAAACUUUUGAAAUUUUAUGGAUAUUUUUCACCAAAUACGAAGUUAGAAACAACUUUUAUAAUUUAACCCAUUUUUCAAUUAAAGUUUGAACUCAAGAAAAUUGAUCGUACAUUUUCACUAGCUCUAAAAUAACAUUUUUAUAACCUAAAAAUAUUUUAGUUUGAAUUAAAAUUAAAAAUAAGAAAGACAAUCAAAUCUUCAAAUCAAAAUAACAAAUGCUCAUGCACAACUUUUUGUUUAAUUAAACUUUCAUAAUUAAGUUGUUUUUUAAAACUUUACAUAUCAAACUAGUUUUAUGCUGACCUUCUAAACCUAUUUUUAGAAACUGAAGCAUCAGAGCAUUUUGAAAACUAAGGACCAAACAAAUCAUUUCUUAUAAACCUAAAAUCCAAAAAGAAAAAAGAAAAGCACAUUUAUAAAAUUACAUAACCAAAAACACACAUAUUCAACAUUUUAAAAGAAAAGAAAAACCUUUUUCACAGAAACUCUUUAUCAGAACAAAAAUAGUUUGACAAUCCAAAUAAACUAUCCGUCCGGUUCAAACAUUCUAUCUUAGAAUCGAAGUUACGAAACAAAAUAACAGUAUCCAAAAUCAGAUUUUUCAUAAGAGGGAAAAUUGAUAACAGCCAUCAUUCUAUUCUUAAGAGUGCAUGUUGAGAAGGAUAAUUACUAUCAUCAACGCAACCUCCUGGCUUCUCUCUCAGACUCCAGAAGGGUAAGAAUGUCACCUUCCCUCACAGGUCCCUUGACAUUCCUCAUGAUGUAACGAUUCUGAUCGUCAAGAAACUUGACUCUCACUUGAGUCACCUGCCCUCUUGAUCCAGUUCGCCCCAUAACUUUUACCACCACAGCGUGUUUGAUCUGGGAUUCCAUUUCUUAAAUGAAUUGGAGAAAAACCUGGAAAUUAAAGACAUGAUUAACGACGAAAGCAGGGUAAAGAAGUCCUUUCAGCAUCUACCACAGAUCAGGCUUAAAAAAAGUAGGUGAAGAGAACUCCCAACAAAAACACAGAUAAUCAUUCAAUUCAUCUUUUCGAAAAGAUAAAACAACUGGAGGAAAAACAAAAAAAGAGAAAAACAUUUGUCCAAGUUCAAAUGUGUGACAGGAGAAUAGUUCUGAACCAGAAAGCUAAAACAGUAAUCUUCAGACCAACUUCUAGAGAUUACAUUGUCAGAUAAUUAGUAGCAAAAUUCAUAUGCUGUCGUCAGAUUACAUUUUUCUUUGAAACGGAAACAAGACAUUUGCAUUAGAAGAAUGAAAUGAGUCUAAUGCUUAAAGUAUAAGAAGUAAAAUGUUGCCAAAUUAGAUUAAACUUCAAUGGAAAAGUAAAUCAUCAUUGCCUAGUAGUUCCUCUUAAACUUCAAUCAGAUAUUAAUUAGCCAUUGGAAGCCAACCAUGAAGACUCCUAUAGGUUAUCUUGGAGUAAAACACUCCAAAAAGAUUCAAACAUGGAACGUCAUGGGAAGCGUAGUUACUACAGACAUGGAAAAUAAACAGACCCAACUGGUGUGCAAUUUGGGCAAGUAGUUGGAGAAACAAGGCUACUCUUAUGAAAUCCAAGUGUUGAGAAAAGCACUCUCAAAUUCUUUAGUUUAUUACCUGCUUGGCUGCUGCCCGGCUGUAUGGAGUAGGUAAUAGAUAUUAGGUACUUGUCAUUGAAAGAAAGAGAAACAAAGAUUUAAUGACAGAGUUGAAUGGCAAUAAUAAGGCAAUUCUGAACAAUCUACUAUUGCUUCCUAUAUUUGGUUUGGCAAUCACUAUUCUCAUAGCUUGUUAGAAAACGACUAAUGCCUUUUCACAUAAUUUAUCAAAUCCAUAGUUUACAAUAGAGCAAACAAUGUAGAGAUAUUUUUAAAACGAUCUGAUGCAGCCAAAAUCCUUCAUCUUCUUUGCUUCAAUAAUUUCAGACUGAAUUUAUCCCCAAUGUCCAAAUAUUCGAGUAUCAUCAAUAUUCACGAAAAAAAUCCUAACAUAGACUCAAAAUCUAUCUCUCUCGUUCGCUCACAACUCGCAAGAACAAGCAAUCCGCUUCAUGUUUAAGAUACAAAACCCUAUCAAACUCAAAACAAAUUUUAAAUUUCCGUCAAAUUCCAACAUUAGAUAACGGCAAAAAUCUCUCCGUAGAAAGUAAAGACAAAUACAGAAGCAAGAAAACGAGAAUCAGCAAUCACUACACAAUAGUCGAACGUAUAAUAGAUGGGAACUCAUAUUGAUAAAAACUGUAGAUGAAAAAGUGCAACAAAAAAAACAUGUAGCAAUUCUUAAUCUUGUGGGAAAAAAAAAGCAGAUUAAAGUAAAAACAAAAGAGAUUUAAGGGAAGGAACCGGCGGCGAAGGGUUUAGCAGAGUUUGGACUCGAAAUCUCACCGAUGGAGUGUAUGCAGCGGCGGCCUAGGCUUGAUUUUGUGGUUUUUUACUCUAAGCUUUUAGGGCUUUUUCCUUUUUGUUUUUUGGCGUGCGAGAUCUGGCAAAUGCCUAUUUUAUUUUAACGAGAAUUUCCAUUUACACCCUCUAACUUUGUGCAUAUCUAUUCUUUUAAAUCUUAAACUUCAUCCCUCUAAAUUCUAAAAUAAUAAUCAAUUUAAAUCCUACAAAUUAAUUCAAUUUAAACCUUUCAAUAUAUUUUAUUUAGAUACACUUCUAAGAAUUUAGACACAAAUUGAUAAAUAUCAAUUGGUACAUGUAAAUUAAUAUUUAUCUUUUUUUAUUAUAUUAUUAUUAUUAUCUCUAUAUCAAUAUAUUUGGUUAAGGGUAGAAACAUUUGUUUCCCUCAUUUCUCUUGAUUUGCUUUAGGGUUAUACAACAUAAAUUUACAUUUAAAUUAUUAAAAGAUCAUAUUUAUCUCUAACAAAUUCAAAUUAAACUUUAAAAAUAAAUAAAUAUAUAUAAUAUAAUUUGUAAAUUUUUUUAAUAAUGUUAUCUUUUAAAAAAAAAGUUUUAACUAAGGCCUAAAAUGUUAUACCAUACUACAAGAUUGAUCCAAAUUUCUCAAAAUUUUUAGAAAUGUUCAAAAUGGACUAAUAUUUUACGCAAAUAUAUGGUCCAAAUGACCAAUUUACUCAUCUUUAUUGUUCAUAAUGUACUAAUAAAUAAAAAAAAUAAAAAAUGAAAAGUGGACCAUGAUUAAAACUUGCAUUUAUUAAAUAUUAUAUGAAAAUAUGAUAAGUAAUUAAUUCUAUUAGGGUAAUAUUAUAAUCAAAAUUAUACCUUAAUUUUUUUUGGUGGUUUCGUAAAAAAAAAAAAAAAAAAUUCCCUCUCAUUCUCUCUCUCCGUUAAUUUUUUUUUUAUUUUGCAUUGUUUUUCAUAUAUUAUACCUAAUUAUAUUAUAUAUAUUUAAUUAUACGGUGUAUAUUUUAUGAAUGAAAGGUUCUAUAUCAAUUUGUUUAUGUAUUUUAUUUAAAAUAUUCAUAUCUUACGUAGUAUAUAAUAUGUUAUGUUUGAAACAAUAGUAAUUAUGCAUAAAAAUUGUUUAUGUCUAUAAGAACAUGGAUGAGAAAAAAUUAUGAUGAAUAUAUGUAAUAUAUGCCAUUAAAACAUUAGUUGAUAUUUGAUAUAGGUAAUGUUAGAAAAAGCUGAAUAUGUUUGCGAUACAGACUUUGAUGAAAGAUUGAAGAUCCAAGCAAUUGUAUGAAAAAACGUUUGAAUGAGGAGGAUAUGUUAAAUUACAAUAUUGUAUUAUUGAUUUCGUGAAAGGAUCCACUUUAGCUAUAGUUACAUAAUAGUGUAAACAAUAACAAACAUAAUCAAAUGAAAUCCCUAUUUUAAGUUAUCAUCCGAAUGAUGUAAAUGUAGCUUAAAAUUAGACCAUAAAUUCAUCAAUUAUUUAUUGUUGUACUGGUCAUAAUAUUCCUAUCAUAUCAAAGUGGUAGAAUUGAAAAAAGGGACAUGAGAAAAUAAAAAGAAAAUGCAUGAGGUUGAGUUUGAGUUUGAGUUUGAUCCCAAGUGGGGAGAUAGAGAAAAAGACAUCUAACGCCACCCCUCUUCCAAUUUGGCGUAAAUUUGCUAAUUAUUUACAUUUUGUCUAUGUAAAACAAGACCCCACCCUUACCAUUUUAACACCAUUUAUUUUCCGUUAGCUGCAUUCUGUGGCAGAAUGUUCAACGAAUUUACCAUUUUCUGCUAAAUAGGUUUAAAGGAGGGUAUCCUUUUACCUAAAUUCUUUUCAAAACUAUUCUAAUCACACAUCUCGAUUUCUGUAAUGGUAGAAACAAACACGGAUUUCACCCCUUCUUCAAAUACUGCUAAUCAUUGAUACAAACUAUUACAAUCAAAUCAAAUACUAUGAUAUUGACCCUUGUAAUCUGACCAUAGAUGCCACUCUCUUAGGCACAAGUUAUACCAUCUACCGUUGCAUUCCAAAUUUUAAAUAAAUUCAGUCAAAACUCUAUUGGUACUGCAGGAAAUGACAAUCAAAUAUGAUUUAUACAAAUUAUCCAAAUGAUUACACAAAAUGACUCAACAAAACAACAAAGCUAACUAAUGACAGAGAAGGGAAAAAGUUAAGCCUUCCUUCACGAAACUGAUAAUGAAUUCAAUUCUUCAAAUAUUCUACAAUGAACUUCUUCUCACCUCUCUUCAUACCAAAAUUAAUCAACAUUACAAGUUUUUAACAUAAAGGGGAAAAAAAACGAAGUUUACAAAUGGCAGUCACAAUGAUCUAUACUAUCAUGGGAUAGUAGUUUGAUGAAACAAUUAAAUUUGUGAUUGAGUCGGUGUUCAUACCUCAUAAUAUAUAAACUGAUAUGUACACUCAAGCUCUCGAAGUGCCACCAUGAUCCCUCUCAAUAUGUUCCACAAGGGCAACAGGGUCAACAAAUCCUCUACUACACUUUGGACAAGCAUCGAUCACAACCUUCUUCGGCCCAGUUCGAUUUCCACCCCUUUCAUGAACUUUUUCAACAUGGUCUAUUAAUGACGAAACUGAUGAAAACUUAGCACUGCAUUGUGGACAUUGCUCAAUUUGUCCAUUUCCACCUCCCCCAUUGCUGCUGCUACCUGAUGAUAUCCAAGUUUGACUGAAUUCAUUUGACAACUUCGUCAUGCUUGCUUCGGCUGAGGCUUUAACAGAUGAGGCUGCAUUAAGGAACGCAGUCCACUUAGAGGAGGAUGUGGUGGACAAUGCUUUCUUAGGCCCUUUCUCUUCUUUUCUACUUCUGUUUAAUAGACCAACAAAUGGAAAACCUGUUGGUUCGAGUUUUUUUGGUCCAGGACAUUUAUGGUCAGGUCCAAACCGAUGCUUCAAACAAUGGUCUAAUGAGCAGUCCCGACAUUUGAUUGUGUUUGAAAACGUUAGCAACUCCCUGCAGCCAGGUACAGGGCAUUUUUUCUUCUUUGUGACUUUAUCAUAAUUCGAUGGGUCACAUUCAGUGUUUACAUGUAUCUCCCAAGUAAUGUUUGGAUCUUGAUCUGGAAUGAGACGAACUCCUUUGGCACACAGCGGACAAAUGACAACGGUGACAUCCCAUCUAUCUGCUUUUGGACAACUAUGCCUAUUGUAGCUACGAUGCUCCAAACAGAAGACCUGUCAAAUUUUUAAAUUAAUAAACUAAAUCAAACCAAUGAACGGUACCGAGGAAACCUUGAAUAAUGGACAUCUUUUCAAUUGAAAUGAAAUGUCACAUUCUGUUUAUUCUCAGAAAAAAAUUCUUUUAUUAUGAACUGUUUUGACACAUAUGGUAUCCAUGGUUCAUUUGGAGCAGUAAAAUGAUAUCAAUUGAAGGUUUAAACAUUUAACAGAACUUAUAGAAGCCUAAAUUUUAGGCUGAAAUGGAACCGUUGGAAAAGAGAUUCUUACAAUUAGCAUUGAUGAAUUUCAACAGGUAAAAUGGAUAAACUAAGUAACACAUUCCUGACUCCUUGAAAUCCUGAUCAUAAGCUGAUCAGUCAAUAACUAUUGCUUUCAAAUCAUUAUCAGAGACAUCUUCAUGAAAAUCGAUAGAUGAAAACUUAUCAAUCAAUAAUAAUCAGAAAACCGCCCUCAAAAUAGUAGACGAAAACCUUAAACCCAAAAUAGCAUCCCCAACAUCAUAUGUGUCAAAAUAAGAGACCAAAACACAAAACCUGAAUCGAAGUUCUAAGGCCCUUUUAAUAACUUUUUCUUUGCAUGGUUUCCACCUUUCUCAAAGAAACAUGAAUUUCCAAGACUUGGCUUGGUAUAAGAAAACAUAAGUAGAAACUGGACAACGCAAUACAUAAAUUUAGAGGUAAAAGUAGGGUUUAUAAGCUUAAUUUUUUUAAAAAAAGAAAAACACAAUGGUCGUCAAAUGUGGCCUAAUAUUUCAAGAUUAAUUAAAUCGAGAAAGUUCCUAGGAUCCGGUUAGAACCUCAACUCAUAAUAGUUGACAAUUACCCUUUCUAUCUCUCCAUCAAAUUCAUUUAAAAAUUGGUUUGAGUAUUAACGUUAGAACCAGAAAAAACACUUUCUUUAUUAUUGCGGCCAAAAUAGAGUAAACCAUUGGAUGAUGAACCAAGUCAAAACAAAAAUAAAUUUCCCAAUAGCAGAAUUAACAAUAAAUCAAUCAUCCUAAGAACCAAAUGAUGAAACAAAUCAAAUCACAACAUGAAAAUGAAAGAGAGAAGGAUAAGGAACCUGGUGACAGCAAUCGCAAGUAAAGGGCAAGAAAUCGAUCUGCUUACAUUCUGCAAAGUUGCAAUGCUUCCCGAGAUUAGGGAAUUCCGGGGUUCCCAUUACCCAAAUCAAAACCCCAAAAAUAUAAAAAUAUAUAUAUCAAAAGUGGGGUUGAAGAUUAUGAAACUGGAAAGGGGAAUUGAAAAUUGAAAAUUCUGAAAGCUUUAAGUUUCCGCGUAUUCAAAGAAACGCGAAAACCAAAAGCUUCAGAGAAAGAAGAAGAAGAAGAGUCUUUCAAAAGUCUUCUCAAUUGCUUUUGACCCUUUUCCCCCAAUUUCUGAUUUGGAUUAUAACAAAUUGUCCUCUAAUUCUUUUAUUUAAAUAUUGCGUUAAAAAUACUAUUUUAUUUUUAUCUUUAUCUUAUUUUGUUUUCUAACUUUUUUUAUUUUUUUUUUACAAUUGUAUUUCUUAAAUUGAUAAAUAAAAUCACUUAUUAUACCAAAUUAGAAUCUAAUUUUAUUUUUUUUUUCUCCAAAACUUAAAUCUCUCCCCUCCCUCCUCCUUCCUCAUUCUUGCUUUAUUAUUUUUUUUUUUUUUCAAAUUGGAAUUGGCUUUUCACCAUUUAUUUGUUUGUUUAUUUUGGAGGUGAAAUCUUGAACAAAUUAGAAUGACAUUGAAUAAAAAAUUAAAUUAAAUUAACAUAUUUGUAUUAGUAUUGGUAAAAUAAAUUACAAAAAUAUAAUAAGUACAAUAAAUUAAUAAUAAAUAAAAUACCUUAAACUUGACACGCUAAAAAACUUGUAUGUGGAUAAAAUUACAUCUAACAUAUGAGUUGAGAAAGUGAGGCUAACAACAAUGCGUGCUAAAAUGGUAACAAUCAAAAUCUCGAGUACUUUGAUAAAACAUCAAUUACCCUCUAGUUUUUAACUAAAAUUUAAAACCCUAGAUUAUUAAGAAUAAUUAUCUUAUUUGGCAGCCUAGUUGUGAGAACCUAAUAGCAUCUAAACUACUUGAUAAGAGCUAGCAUCGUUAUGUUUAAGAUUUGCUUAAUGCAACAGGUUCCUUUAAGGGUUUAAAGCACUAUUUUCAAAACAUAAUGAUUUUAUUCAUGUUUUAUCUAAUCCAAUAUAUCUCAAAUAGUUCUUUAGAAUAGGUUAAGGAGCAAAAAAAAUUUGAGGUAAGGGCACUUAUCUCCAGAAUCAGAGUUGGGGACGCCUACCUCUCAAGAAUAAAGAUUGAGGAUGCUCAUCUCUAAGAAUUGGAGUCAGUACCACCUCCCUAGAGUAGAUUCUUGGGCUAUGGUUAUUGUUAUUAAAAGCAGGGAUUUGAUUUUUCCUAAAUGUUUGCCAAGUAGUAUGCAUGUUAUCGUUUAUGAUUACUCAUUUAGCUCAUACUUUCAAAACAGUUUUCCACUUUUCAGAUAGAGGUCGUGUUCUCAAAGCCCGAUACGUCGUUGUCUGUCUGCUGAAUGAUUUUGUCUUUUCUUUUGUACUUGUUUUGCUAUUUGAAUCUUUGUAUAUUUGAUCUUUAAAUUAUCUCAAACUUAAGUUCAACAUGGGACCUCUUGUCCACAGGAACAUACAUGUGUCAGUUGAGCUAAGUUCAUGUUGGUAUCGAAACAUGUUUUCAUGUAAAUAUAAGUUAGUAUAUGUCUAUAUAAAACUUAUGUAACGUUUGUUAAUAAAUGGGAUUGAACUGCAGUUUGUGUUUAAGUUAUGUUUAUUAGCUUCCGCUUGCGUUUCAUUUAAAGGUUAUAGGUAAAAUGUCAACUUGUGUCGUUUAGAAGGGGAGUGGGUUGACUUUAUGUUGUCUCUCGGGUCGAGUGUAGGUGACCCGGGAGGAGUUAUGACAAUUCCAAUCUCCACUCAAUUUGUAACCAUUAAAAGAACUUGGACCACUCAUUGAGCUUGUUGUAAUUAUUUCUAGCAAACAUUCAAAGAACCAACUCUUUGGUUAUCCUCACGAAUUUUGAUACUCACAUUUUUUUUCUUUUCUCUCAUUAGUUUUUGCACAUUUUUCUUUUUCAUAUAUUUUUAUUCGUUUUUGUCUUGGUCCCAUACCUUUUGUCUUCCAAGUCACACACAACACGUUUUUCUUCUCUUGGAAAAAGUGGUACAAGAAGUAUAAUCAAAUAUUAUUUUGGGUUCUAAUGGACUAGAAAUGUAUGCACAAAGUAUGUCAAUUUCAAGUUCACUAGUGUCUACUCUCUCUACAUCGAGAUCAUGCAUUAACACAACAUUAUUAAUUAAGCACCUCUUUACUACUUUCCACCUUAUCAUAAAAUGCUUCAAUAUAGCAUAUGAACUAACACUUUUCCACUAAUGUAGUGACAUUUAAAUUGAGCUUAGAUUUAGUGUAACUUGAAGAUUUCCUUUGGAGUUGUCGUUCUAUAUGAAUGACAAGUACCAUUUCUUUUUUCAAAUCCUCACAUGGUCGAAUCUUUUGAGGAUCGACAAGCAUCUCAACAAACUCUUAUUAUGUCCAUUGUAGAAUCAAUCUACGGUAGCUUCCUCAUCCUCAAAUAUGUUAACCACUCAAGUCAACAACAUUUUCUCGUAAUAACUUUCCACACGUUUGGUCCCUUGUCUCGAAAUUUUCAAUUUGUAGAAAGAUUUUGAAACAUAACGUUUUUUGACAAUAAAUACCACCGUCAUGUUAGUGUGAAUUCUUCAACGUUAAAUUUUGCCUUUCCUCUUUCACUAUAUAGUGGUGGUGAUCAAAUAUAGCCCCAAAACAUUCUCCUCCCAAAGCAAAUAUCCACGUGGAUUAUUUAAAAUACUUCCAAGAAACAAUGGAGGUUUGUUUCAAUCAACAACACAUCAUAAUCACUCCCCAAAUCUAUUGUCUGACAUGACUAACAAAGUUCAGCUACUUAAUUAUAACUUCAAGUUCAACUAUUAAUUAACGUACUUGCAUGACAUUCUGCUUGACUUUACUGCUUCUAUUUCUUUUCAAGUUCUUACAUUUUUCUUCUCUUUUUUCUUCCUUCAAUCUCACAAAAUUUGGUAUCACAAUCUCUUCAUCAGCUUUUUUUUUAAUUUCUCCUUCACGAAUUUGAUUCAGCAAAAUUUGUGGCCAAAUUCACUUUUUAAAAAAAAUAUAAAUACUAAAGUCGCUUCCACACCAAAUUUGAACAAGAACGAGAAACUAGACUCGAUAAAAAAAAAUGUAAUUAGCUCAAACAUAUACCCAAUCUAAAGCAUAAGCUUGACUAUCAAAUAAUAUGAAAACACCAAGAUUUAAAAAUUAGGAAUCCAAUUAGUGAACUCUGAAUAUCAAAUUCAAAAUCUCCAAAUCAAUUUGACAACAAUCCAAAAAGAAGAAGUAUAAUUACCUUCUAAUCAAUGACCAUCAAGUCAAUACUAACCGUACUUAAUAUACCGAUAAAAGAAGAUAAAAUUACAUCAAAAUUAAAUAAAAUAUAAUUAAUAAAUUAGUAUCACGACUUGUUAGGAAGGAGUUGAGAGUGGUUGCACUACUGCAAGCACAAGUAAUGGUUUUAGUAAGAAUUAUGUAUUAUUGUUUAUUUACUUUGUGGGUUCAUGUUGUGUAGCUUCACUUCAACAAUAGAUUUGUAGAUAUAAUUUUUCUCCUUUGCUUAUAUAAAAUCUCAAGGUUUUGGAAUAUUUACUUAGAAACCCCAAAUGGCUCUCCUGCAAAUCUCUGCUCCCAGUCCCCAAUCCGAAUUAAUAAUAACAAAAAAAUCAUUUUUCUUACCAAUUUAAUGGAGUUCAUUAAAAAUAAUUAAUUUUUGUGUUAAUUCUCUCUCUAAAGGUUUUUAGAAUGGCAUUUUAAAAUCAAUUUCAUAUUUAUUUUCGUAAAUUCAAAUGCAAAAACUCCAUAUAAUAAAAAAGAAAUUGAUUUCGAGCAUUUAGAAAAAUGCUAUACAUCAAUGUCCAGUAUGAUUUUUUUUCCUAAAAAAUAGAGGCUUGACCUUCUAUCACAAGAAUAUCAACACUCAACGACAAUAACAAUAACAAUAAACAUAAGAGUAUAUUUACUACGCAAGUAUUUAGAAAAACAUAACACAAGAUUUCUUCAUCAACAAAAAUAUUACUUCAUCUAGUCUUGUAUAAGAAAGAUGCAUUAAUUCAUUUAAUUUUUAUAUAUAUAUAUUGAAAUUCAUUUAUUUUAUUUAAAGCAAAUUUGACCGAUCUACGUUUGUCCAUCUCUCUAUCUACUCUUACACUGAUAUUUUAAAAAUAUGAUCCAUCCAUAAUGACCAUCUUACCCGCAUUAGUUUUCCUUUACACACAAAUAUUAUAAACGCAAAUACUAUAAGAUCAUAGUUCUCCGACCCAAAGAUAUAGAACAUAGAACUAAGUAAAAACCACAAUCCAUAAUGACACAAAUCAGAUUCAUGUGUGAAGACCGAUCAUCAAAUAAUCAUUCAACAUCAUAAAUGCCCAUUGUGAAAUUCUUUCCUAGUGUUUAGCUUUGUGCAUUCGUAAAAAAGCUAUCUAAUUUUAAGACAGGUAAUAUUUUCUUCUUAAGAAUCAUUAGUGCAUUCAAAAUCAAGCUUUAUGCCAUUGAAUUCAGAAACAAAAAACAGAGUCAAGUACCCAUAAGAAAUAAAUAACACACUAUCCUUGAAAGUAAAUGAACUCAGACUGAAAAGCAUAUACUAUAGAGUUGUCCUAACAAAAACAUUCUUCUCUUUUCGAUUCAAAAGCAUACCAAAUCUACGCUGAUCUAAGCAGCACCCCUCUCGGCAUCCUCCAACAACAAUGCCUUUACGGUGGGUUUAGCCAACAGAUCGGUGUGCUCUUGGAAUGGAGAUUUGGUGAAGCGAGUCUCCCUCCAGAACUCGGGCGUCAGGAAACCAUAGGUUUUCAAUAGACAAUCAAAGGUAGCCUGCCAAAAAGAACACUUGUAACAACAGACAAAAACCAAAUCUGACUUACUAUCUAACAGAUCGAACAAUCUUACACUCCAGUUGAAGUUGAAGUUAAACAUAAACAAAUAGCAAAGCACAUAAAUUAAAUGUUCGUGUGACUAAACCCACUUUUAGAAGAAACAAACUUUUAUCAAUGGUUUCUCAUGCACUGUCUAUUGGCAUGCAAUUUCACUAUAAAUUCAUUCUAUGCGAUCUCAUCACAAGAAAUCACUGGAACUCUCUAAUUUAACUAUUCUAAACACGAACUCAACUACACCAACAACUGUAUUGCAUUUACAAAAUGCAUCCAACCUAUAAUUCUUACAAAAGGCAGCCCAGUAGUUUGCUUUAGAUACAACUAAUCCAGAUUAAACUAUCCAAAAAAUUUAACAUGAAAAUAAUGUAGGCUAAAAAAAACAAAACACAAAUCAAUUUCACAAAAUAUAUGCACACACAGACAGAAAAAUCUAAACGAAACACAGCCCGAUAUCCAUAAUCAACCACGAAUAGACUGCUAUUCACGAUGUCACAACCGAGCCUAAGUACAAAUCUGAAUUCAGAGUGCCCGAAAUGACAUAACACAGCAUAUUAUACUGAUAAUAGACACCAUAAAUUCCAGUGAACAGAUGAUAUAGAUAUUGCACCAUAUUACAAUAUACCUUCACAAAGUUUCCAAGUGUCUUAGUGGAUCCCCUUGAGGAAGUGAAAACAUCCUCAAUACCAGCGAAUUGAAGCACCUUCUUGGGAACCCUAGCAGCAACAAUACCAGCACCACGAGGAGCAGGAACCAUACGGACGGUGACAGAGCCACACUUUCCGGUGACCUUGCAAGGAACAGUAUGGGGUUUACCAAUCUUGUUACCCCAAUAACCCCUCCUAACAGGGAUCACCGACAACUUAGCCAAAAUAAUCGAGCCACGAAUAGCAGUCGCCACCUCUUUGCUGCACUUAACUCCCAAUCCAACAUGGCCAUUACCGUCGCCAACGACAACGAAGGCCUUAAACCUAGUUCUUUGACCAGCCCGGGUCUGUUUCUGCACAGGCAUGAUCUUCAUGACCUCAUCCUUGAGGCUAGGGCCAAUGAGAGUAUCAACGAUCUGAUGCUCCUUGAUUGGGAGAGAGUGGAGGUAAAUCUGCUCCAGUGAUUGAAUCUUACCUUCCUUAACAAGACGGCCAAGCUUGGUGACUGGAACCCACUUCUCCUCUUCUUCACGGCGGCCAGCACGACGGCGUCCACGGCCACGGUCGCCACCACGGCCUCUACCACCGAAGCCUCUGCCAAAGCCGCCGCGGUCUCCUCCUCGUUCAGCCAUGAUAAAUGGUUAUUGAAAAAGCUGCAGGGAAAAUGAGAAUGACCGGAGGUUUGAGAGAGUGUGAGGAUGAAAAAACCCUAAAGAAGGAAUUUAUAUAUGGGGAGUUAGGGUUUGAUGGGUUUCGCUUUUAAAUGAACCGAUUGCGGACCAAAUGUGAUCCAGGCCCAGAUAAAGAAUCCGAACUGGUCCAGCCCAUCAGAAGAUAAUUGAGUUAGCCGAAUUGAAACUAGGCCCAAACAGUGUGGCCCAUAAUUGAACUUGAAAUGAGAAAUGGGUUUAACUACAAACAAUAUAGGCCGAAAUGUACUCUAACGGUCUUAUACGUUGAAGAACAAAAUUUUUCAUCCUCCAUUAAUCUCUAUCGGUCUAAUGAUUAAAACAAAGUGUGUUUAUUAUAUAGUGCCAAUGUAUAAAAUUUAUGCAUUCGUCGGUAGAAUUAAAACUCAAAUAAUUAAGCACUCGAUAGCACACUCAUCUUCUUUUCCUUUAAUUUCAUCUUUUUCCUUUUAAUAACUUUUUUUUUUCUUUUCUUCAAUAAUUAACCUCAAAAAUUAACUUAUUAUUAUUCUUAUUUUCAUUUUCAACGAUAAAGCAACAAAAAAUUUAGUAUCAAUAUGUGAUUGAAGAAGAGAGUAGGAAUUUGUGGGAAUUACAACAGCAACUAAAGUUUAGUUCUAUAAAAGUUGAGGGACCAAACAGCAAAUAUUUUUAACUUAUUGAAGUCUGAUUAAAGUUGAAAAAGAUACAAAAUAAAAAGUUGUUUGGGUAUUUGAUACAAAGCAUAAAGCCAAUAAGCCAUUACCACUAUUCAAUCUCUUUUGUUUCUCUUUACAAUAUAUAUUCAAAAUGAGGGCAGCUCCACCAAAUGCAAUCAAGCUCGACGGUCAAAUGCAGCUGCUGCCGGAGCCACCCGCGGAGCCAUCCCACUCCACUCGUCACUCCCUCCACACGCUCCUGGUGCUGCUGGCGGCAAUCACCAUUUUAGGUGUCAUUGCUCGAGUUUUCGCUCGCCUUUGCGGUGGAGGAACUGAUGACGACAACAUUGAAGGUUGGGUUCAAACAAGGUGCAACAGCUGCAUUGACGGCAGCAGCCCCCCUCCGUCGCAAGUGGCGGAGGAGGAGAAGAAGUGAGAUCAGGCGGGUAGAAUAGUAAUUAAUUUCCAGGUUUUUUUCUUUAAGAAUUUGGAAUUUUUGUGUGAUUGUAUCGUAAUGUAAUGUAAUGUAGCAGAAGGAUUUCAUGUGCUUUCCUUUCCUUCAUUUUCCCAUUCUUCUUCUAUUAUUUUCCCUUUAAAAUUUAAACUUUAACCCAAUCUAGACUUUAAAUCUUCAUACGUAUUAAAAUCUAAAUUGAUACCAUUAAUUUGGGGUUUGCAUUGAAAUAAUAAUUAAAUUAAAAGUACACAAUGAAACCCAAAUUCAAAGGCAAAAUGAGAGAAAGGGGAAAAAGAAAAGUUUGGAAGUGAAGGGUUCCCCAAAUUUCUUAAAAUUUGGUACUUAAAAUGCAUUUGAAUUUCCACUUUUGCAAAAGCUGUCUUCUUUAUAAGCAGCUUUCAUUUCUUAAUAUUAUUCCUUUUGACAACAUAUCACUAUUUCAAACUAUUAUUGGUUUAUGUUACAACUUACAAGGGUACAAUACAAAUGAUGAACUCAACUCAUUCACCAUCCUCCACCUACAAUUGUUUCAACCACAACAAUAAAUCACCAUCCAAUCAAGUCUUGAUUGGGUUGUUUUAUUGAUGCAAACCUCACGUCUUUGAACUCUACUAAAACGAGCACCAUGUUUUUUCUCUUUUAUUGUUGGUGUUCAAUCAUCUAUCUCAACAAUUGUUGUACUUAAAAAAGGAGAAGAAGUUUCUAAGAACGUUAAGUUUUAUUUCUAACAAGUUUAUGAAAUUUAAAAUGCGUUGGAUGAGUCAUUAAAAACUUUCAUUUUUUAAUUGAGUGUCUAUAUUUUCUUUUUUCUUUAUAUGGUUUAAUUGUGCAUCUAGUUGGUUUUUGACUUAUUUUACACUUCUAAAUUUACUGAUCUAAUAAAUACAAAAUAAAAUGUUUACAGUUAGAUUACACAUAAAAAUCAUUUUUAAAUCUAAUGUAAGAAAAAAUAGCAACAACAUUCAAAAUUCAAAAUUUAGAAACUUGUUAGAGAGUUAAUUCAAGAAUCAAUUAUCUAAACUUUUAUGCUUGUUUUUUUUUUUUUUUUCUCUUUACUACAACAAUUAAGGCUAUUUGAGUCUCAAACUUCAAGAAAAGAAAUACAUUCUAAUUACAAAUUACAACAUAACUAUCCGUUUAAUCACAAUCUAUUAAAUUACAAAUUUAAUCCUUAUAAUUCAAAAAAAAAAGUUAGAUUGUAGACUUUUUUAUUUAUAAUUAUAACUUGGUUCAUAUGAUUUAAUAAAAUAGUCUAUGGUAAGGAGUAUUUGUGCAAGGUUUAUCAAAACAUAAAGAAUACACAUAAGAUUUGAUUAGUACUAAAUUUCAAAAAUUAAUUUUCUGUCAAUCAUAUUGUUGUUAUAUUGUUAUUAUUAAGACCAAGUUUUUAAAUAAGCAUAAUAUUUAAACCAAGUGAUAUGCAUCUUAGGGUAAUCCUUGAGAAAAGAAAAGAGAGUCAUGUCCUAAUUGCAUGAUUAUUAUUAUUUAUUUUGGACAAAUAUUUGAAGAUAUUGAAAAACAAAAAAUCCUGCUUUGAAUUUAGAACGUGAGAACGGGCACAAAAGAAGGAUCUUCUCUAAUUUAAGCCUCCAAUAAUGGCUUUUGUAAAUUCAAACUACCUUUCACUUUCUAAGGAACUUUUGAGCUUUUUCUUUCACUUUCUUUUGCUUUAAAACACACCUCCACUAACAUAUGAUUCAAGACAAAAGUAUGCAAAAAAGAGAAUAAGCGUUAAAUAAUUAACCAGCAUCACAGUUUAUACUUAAUACAUGAGAAAGAAGAAGUAACAAACAAGUAUCAUCAUGUGUCUUUAUCAGUUUUAUUUGUACAUACAAAGAACAUUGAAGGGGGAGAGGGGAAAAAAUUUGAAGAGAUCAAGAUCAUCAUCAUCAUCAACCUCUUUUGUAACUUCAAACUCUAAAACACAGCACCGAAUAAAAAUAAAAUAAAUUAAAUAGCAUCGUCGAUAGAUAAGCAAGGCUUGUACCUGCAUUAGCUUCCGCAUACCAAUUCAGGGACGAUUACAACAGAUCAUAAAUUGCCUAAUCUGGAUCAAGUUUUCGUUUGAGAAUCUAUUUGUUUCCUUUCUUCAUCUUUUAUCUGUCUGUAUAAAAUAUAAAACUCCCUUUUUAACAGUUGAUUCCACACUGUUCGACAUCAGGACCAGUUACCCGAGUUGUGAAGGGAUCGAUCCGAACCCAUAAAAGGGAGAAGAUUGAGGCAAGGAGGAUAGACCAUACAACCACGAUUGUGGGUGUUCGGUUCUGGCGACCCAUCAGACCCUUAAGGAAGGGAUACAGAUGAAUAAUCACCCAGAAAGCGAAGAACAGUUUCCCGAAAAGGGGUCCCCAAGAUUGAUAACCACUGUUGAUCGCAUAAGAAAUUCCAGCAACAACUCCAACUAUGUUGAUAAUUAGGAGAGUAGUUGGGGGAAUCAGAAGAGUGGUCCACUUGAACAUGUAGAGCUCAGCAAAAUCUCCAUCUUCGUCGGACGCUUUCGAAGUAACCGUGAAGUUUGUAUCGAUUCCAGCAAGAACUUUAAGAAGACCUUGGAAGACAGCGAAAAGAUGGGCCGACACACCUCCAAUAACCCAGAAUUGUUCGUUUCUCCACCAUUCAUCGAUUCCAACACCACUCCAUCUCAUUUCCAGAAUACCGGUAGCAAAGAUGGAAAGAAAGAGAGAGAUGAACCAGAUGCUAGCAAGAUUGCUGAUCUGUAAUGAAAGCACAAACAACAAAGUAUACAUUGAGCAAAAGGAUUAUGUUUGCAGCACAGUUAUUAUACACUAAAUGCAUCUUUAACAUAGAAAUCACUGAUUAACUAUUGGAUUCCAAAAAAAAUAUAAUCCUUCUUACCUGAGGAAUGAUAAACUUUCCCGUGAGUAAACAUAUGGCAGGUAAGGUACAAUAGGCAAGAAGAGGAAUGGAUGUUAUUGGAUAAAUGGUGGUGUUAACAUAAGCAAAUCUCUCAAGCCAUUUCAACCGUCCACCAUAACCGUACCAUACAGGACAAUGCCGACUGAAAAGAAUUUCAACCGAACCUAACGCCCACCGAAGCACUUGGUUAAGACGAUCAGAAAGAUUAAUGGGAGCAGAUCCUUUAAAUGCAGGACGGUCUGGGAUGCAGUAGAUUGAUCUCCAGCCACGGGCAUGCAUCUUGAACCCUGUCAAAAUAUCUUCUGUGACGGAACCAUAGAUCCAUCCAAUCUGCACCACCAAAUAUUAACACAUCCCUUAGUAAUACAAAAUUUCAUCAAAAAAUUAUGAGCGCAAACAAUGGUUGCUUCCAACAUAAAUUAAUGGAUUUAGAAGGAAAUGAAUUCGUACUUCACUUCCCCAGUCUGUUUUAUCCUCGUAUCCACAACUGAUGACAUGAAUUGCUUCUUUAAGGAGAGAUUCUGGAGUGGCAGAUUGCGGCACACCACCAUUUUCCAUUAGUGUGGAAGCAACAAAUACAGCUGAUUGACCAAACCUCUUCUCCAGGCUCAUUUGCGACAUUAGUAGUGAUUUCUCGUCAUCAAACCCAGCACCUGGAUUGGAUGAUAUAUGGAAAUUAGUACCCCAUUUCAAGGUGCAAAGUAGAACGUUAGACUUGCGUAAAGACAUCAAGAAGACUAAACAAGAACCAAAAAUUAGACUUGGAGAAAGAUAAAUAGUUCUCAUUUAAAAGCACAUUACAAAACUGGACUUACAUGGAGAAAGGAGCAACAUUAUUUUAGAUCGCUAAAUUUAGUUAAAAAUCUCAUAGAAAGGAAAACAGAUGCUAACAACUAUGCAUAUAGAGAGCAUAUGCCUGGAAAAUACUGCUAAAGCAAAUAAAUGAAAACUUUACCUUCAACUCCUUCCUCAAUAUCUUCGAGGUUGAAUAUUGGCACCGUGGGAUCAACAUUUUUACUAGAUUGCUUCUUGUCAGAAUCCUUUCUUUUUGACUUAGAACUUUUCUUUUUCGAUUUCCCAAAGCAACUGGAGAAUACCCCUGCCUUUUUAUGCUUGGGCUUGAGUGGGGGCUCAUAGCCGUACAGCGCAGUUCGAUUGAAAACACAUCCCGUUCCCACAUAAACUGGACCUUGGAUACCAUCCAAGCCUCGAAGAUUGAUCUAUAAGCCACGUUAAAUUUUAAUAAAUUAAAUACAGGCCACCAGGACAUCAUGAAAGAAAAUCUAUUUAACAAAAUACACAAAUUCAGAACUGUGACUGAAGGUAUCUAGACGAAGACAGCUAAACAAAACUUACAUCAAAGAAAACAGUGUUUCGGUUGGCAUAUCGAUCGUUUCUAUCAAUUCCAUCAAACCUCUGAGGAAACUGAACAUAGCAAACUGAUUUACCAAGAUUAGGAUCCAUCAUAAAACACAUAGCUUCCCGCAACGCCUUACUGUUGUUUAUGUAGUGAUCACAAUCAAGAUUUAACAAGAAGGGUCCGUUGGUAAGAACAGCAGAUACGCGAACCUGAACAGAAGUGGAUCAUUCAAAGAAAGAUAUAGAAGUAAAGAGAUGUUGAGAAAUUUUCCAAAAUCAUCUACUCACAAGAGCAUUCAUAGCACCAGCCUUUUUGUGAUGUUGGAAACCAGGACGCUUCUCACGAGAAACAUAAACUAAACGUGGAAGCUCAUUACCAUCAGUAUCAAGUCCUCCACUGUGCCCUAAGAAAACCUGCAAAUUUAUAAAGAAACAGCACAAUGAGACUGCAGUAAUGUAAUCAAAACAAGAUUUAAGCAGCAAUGAAGAACGAUGGGCACUGAGACAGCAGUUUUAAUUCCAAAUGACGUACAGACCUGUAUCAUUCCCGGAUGAUCUCUCGUGUUAUUUCCAGGCCAUGGGGUGCCAUCUUGCAUGACCCACCCUUCAUCAGGAAUUUUCUGUGCCUUAGCAACAAGUCCAUUGACACGAAUUUUAAACUCCUCGUAUUCUCUCUGUAACACAGAAGAACAGUCAGUCAACUAUGGGGAUGAUAAAAGGAACUUUAGUGUAAUGUAGCCAUAGAAAAGAAAGCAAUAUGGAAGGAAUGGGAUUUACUACCUUCAUUGCUCUCCGCUCCUUCACAAAUGAUGGUUGAACCUUGUCCUUUAAGUAAUCAAUCUUCUGAGCAAAAUACCACUCUGGUGCUCGUGGCUCAAUGCUGUACUUCUUGCAGAAAGGAACCCAUUUUCUAGCAAACUCUGAGGUUUCGGACAAAGCUUCAAAUGUUAACAUAGCAGCUCCAUCAUCAGAUACGUAGCAAGAAACUUUAUCAACUGGAUAGUCCACAGAGAGAAUUGAUAGGACUGUAUUGGCAGUGACAAGGGGAGGUUCUUUCAGAGGGUCGACAGUACUGACAAAUAUGUCAACAGCAGCCAACUGAGAUGGCUCUCCUUCACGAUCAUAUCUGCAAACCACAAAUAUUGAGAUUAAAAUUUCAAGGUAAGGACAAACAUAGAAGUGAAAAUUGCUCAUAAUGAAAGCUAAAACCCAACCUCAGAGCAAGCCUAUCAAGAUAUGUCUCACGAUUAACCGGGAGCCAUUUGGGGAACUGAUCCAAAAUCCAAGAUAUAGCAAACCAAAUCUCACAAAUCACUGAUAUUAACCACAGAGCAAAGGCAUUUGGAACUGGAUUUGUAAUCCGAUAGUGCAAGAAGAUGCAAAGAAUAAUAAGCCGGAGAACGAUGACCAUCCUAUAAGGAUUAAUCCUAGAGGAUGGAAUAGAAACCUUCCUCGAUAGAGGCUGGCGAGCUUCGUCAUUUCUGCAAUGCCAACAAAUGAGAAUAACAGUUAGAAAGCAAGUACAAGAAAAUAACAUUUAGAAGAUUAUUCGAGUGGAGAGCAGUAUCAUGCAACGGUUGAUUACUUGAGUAUCAGUCACAGCGAUUGAUGGUAUUUGAGCCAAAAAGCAUAAAUCCCAUUUGCUAUGUUGAAAACUAAAACGUAUCCUUCUUCUUCGUGUAAAAGAAGAUAAAAACCAGAGCUUUCACGAAAGCAAUAUGACAGUUCAAAACAUUGCUGAUAAUAAGUUUUUUCUUGUUUUGGUUCACACUCCUCACAGAAUCAUUUUACUCUUCCAAAAUGCAGUCAACAGUAGUUACGCUGCGAAAUGGUAGAAACUAUAUAAGAACAAGAGACCAAAUGAAGCACUCACAGUAAAGAAUCAUCGAUCACGACAUCAGUGCUGGCAUCAAAAUCGGCACCACCCCUCCCUUCAGAAGGUGCAUGACUGACACUCAUUGGCGGCACACUCUUGUCUUGCUUCACCUUCCAACUAUCUAUUCUCUCCUUCCAGGCCACAUUGCCAAACCUAGCCGAUCCCGAGUCUCUUGAUUGAUCCAUAAUUCUAUAGUUAGCUGCCAAUUAUCAAACAAACAUUUUAAAAGAACCAUCAUGACAAAGUUUACUUUCCUUCCCAUACACAUUUCCCAGACAUAGAACCACCGAACCCCUUAAAUUUAUUGUAAGAGGUACCAACUAUAUGAGCUUACCCCGGCUCCCGCUUUCAGGAGAGGCCAUGGACAGCCGCUCAGGAGAUGCAGCUGACAGUUCUCCAGAAACCUUAAGCACAGAGAAUACCAUAAAACCACCAAAUUCAAUUCCAAGUCCAACAAACAGAAACAUAAUUGAAUCAAAUAAAGUAAACCACUAGAUCAACUUACAGAUCGUCCAGUGGUGAGCAAAGGAAUGUGAUUAAAAGAUCCCUCUUUAUCAUAAUUAGUAUCCCAGCUAAGGGUGCGCUCUGGCAUCUUAUGAUGCCUUUCUUGUGCCCCUCCCACUCCAUUGCCAUCACCAUCUUCUACUGCCUCACCAGUAACAGGAGGACUUCCUAAAAACAAAGAAACAAACCGAUCCAUCCCAUUACCAUCAAAUGUUCAAGAAGUACAAAAACAAAAUCAAACUAAAAAAAAGUAGAUUGGAUCGAAUCAAAACCUUUAUGCCACUUGUAUUUAGUCUUGCAUUGAGGGCAAGACUGAUUCCCAUCUUUCCUCUCGUACUCAUAACAUGGACGGCAGACCGGAAAUGCACAAACAUCACACGCAACAAACGGCUCGCCGUCGGCCGUCGUGCCAACGGAAUCACUGCAGAUCUGACAAACCUGGCCGCCCCCAAUCUGUUUCGACGGUUUCUGAAACAAAAAAAAAAAAAAAUAAAUCAUCAAAUCACAAGAACCCAGUUAGAAACAGAAGAUAAGAACAAAAUUGAGAAAUGGGAAAGAGUUAAAUUACCCCAGGAUUAGUAUCGACCUCCAUGGCUGCUAGUCCAGUCGAAGAUCGUAAUGGGUGUUAAGCAAAAGAAGCAGCAGUGAAAGGAACAACUCUGGAUUACUUCAUGGAAACUCAAAGUUGGAGAUGGAAAAAUGGGGAUCUGGAGACGUGAGAGGGCAAAGUGAAAUGGGGAUUGGUUAAAAAUGGAGAAAUGUGUGAAGAAGAAGAAGAUGAAAGGAAUUUAUGGGUCAGAAAAGCCACCGACGCUGAGACAACACAGAUCCAAUCCAACCUCUCUCAGUCUUGUUGUUGAAUUUCUUUCUUUUCUUUUACUUUUUCUCAGUGAAAUUUUUCUCACCAUUUUCAAUUAUUCUCUUUCUCAAUCUUUGAUUUUGAUUGGGAUAUUUUCAUACUCACUGCUCCAAUAGUACGGUAGAAGAAGGAACCAUCCAAGUGAACUUUUUUGGAUUAAUUUAUACACUAAAUUUUUACUAAAUUCAGAUGGGUUUUUUUAAAAAGGAAAUGUGAAUUAUCCACAAAUGUGGAACUCUCCAUGUUACAAAUGUCCAUGAAAAUAUCAUCACAAUCAAUUUUACAUUAACAAUAACUUAACUAAAUAUACAUUCAAAUUCAAAGUAAUAUAAUGAAAGAAAAUCAAAUUUAAAUUCAUAUUUCAAAACAAUACAUUUGGCUUCCCAUUCUUUUAACAAUCAUCAUUCUUUGUUGAUUAUCUUUAAUAAUUUAUUUUCUUUCUAACGUGACAAUAAAAAUGUCUUUUCAUCCUCCACCUCAAUUAGAAUUGGUGAUAAUAUAGAAAUAUUGAUAGAAAUACUUUUUUUUUUGUUAGGAUUAAUUGAAUCUCUUUUAAAUGGUCUAUUGAAACUUAUUGUUUGGAUACAUUUUUUAAUUCCAUUUUCUAAAAGGAUAAAAUAUUUGCUUGCACUUAAAUCUAACUUUUCUUUUUGUGCCCUUCAAUACUUUUUCUAUUUGACUAAGAAUCUAAGAUUGAUAGAUGAUUGCAUGUUCCACAAGUAUGUAUCAUUUAUUGGAUGUAAAUGUAUAGUUUGACUUGGUAGUCGAGCAAGAGUUACUUAGUAUUUUAUACCCAUCAUGUCACGUCUCGUUCAAAUCCUCUUCAUGCAACUAAGAAAGAUGUGUGACCGUCUAGACAUUCUAUUUGUAUCUCUCUAUGAGAUGACACAUAGAACGCCUAAUGAGGGGAUUAAAUGAGCGUCAAAAUUUAAUGUGAAAGAGUUCAAUUGCAAAAUACAAAGAUUUCAUUGAUAGUGGAUCAAAAAUACAUUAAACACGAGUACCACCCUUCUCGAGUUCAACUUAAGGUUUUUAAAAUAACAAUCUUGACACCUUUCGCCUAACUCUACAUGUUAUGUGAUUUGGCAGUGGUUACUAUUGAGUGAUGUGUUCAAAGGGCACGUCAGACAAUCAAGGCGGCAUGUUCGAUGCUAGAUGUCUUUCUCUAUCGGGGGAAGAGAGAAUAAAACAAAACAUUUGAAAGGUUAAACAAAAAACGUCUAGUAAGUGUGGUUGUUUAGAGUUCUAAAAAUGUGUGAACUUAGAGGUCCAUUGUUUAUGUUUUUGAAAGUUUUAAGUCAUGUAUUAUAUAUGGGUUGUUUUUAAAUAUUGUAAAAUAAACUAAAAUAUUUUUUAAAAAAAUAACAAAAUUUCACAAUUUAUCACAAAUAAGCACCGAUAGAAGUUUACUAUUGUCUAUCACUGAUAAAUUCUAAAUUUUUACUAUAUUUUGUAAAUAUUUUCACCAAAUUUAUCAUUUACAAUAAUUUUCCUAAAUAUUAAAACUAAUAAAUUAAAUUAAUACAACUGUAAAAGUUAAUUACCAAUUAAAGUUUAAUAGUUAGAUUGUUACGCUUUUUGAAAUAAAUAAUUUUUACCAUAUCACAAACAUCAUUUAGAGGUGAAAAGCUCUUAUAACCCAACAUUUACUAACAUCUAUCUUAAUAAACGUUGUUAAAUUCAACGAAAAAGAUAAAUCGAAGAUGGAUGAGACUUCAGUUGUAAUUAUUUUAUUUGCAUCUUUUUCAAAUACAAUGGUCGAAUAUUUUGUCAAAAUUGAGAAUAGAAGAUGAACUCAUUGAAAAUAUAAAGUUAAAGAAGAUUUGUGUAUAAUGAGUAGAAUCUGAAAGAAAAGUUUAGAGUAUAAAAUGGUGUUUGUUAUUUUUAAUUGUAUACAAUUAAUAAUGAAUGAUGAAUAUUGGAGAAAGGUGUAAGGGUGUGGAAGUAAAAAAGAAAAGGAGAGUGAAAGUUGAAGAGGAAUGAAUAAAAGAUGGGGUGAGGUGGAAGAAGAAGAAUGGUUAGUUUGGUAGUUGAGAGAGUGGGAGAAGGAGAAGGAGUGACCGACAGAGGAAGGAGAGUUAUAUGGGUGGGCGCGUGUGAAUGACUUUGUGAGUUGGAAGGUGAGGCGUAAUUGGGUGCGUUGCUCACCAACCGGAGAGAGAAAUAAGAAACAAAUUGGAAAUAUUUGUGUAAUAUACAAAAUAAAAUAGCAUGUGCAUAUUUUCAUAUUUGUCACUUUGUGUCGGUGAUGAGUUGGAAAUAGCUAUACAUAUAAUUUAAGUUUGUUUAAUAAAUUUGUUAAAUUACAACUUUAGUUUAGGUCGUUUCAUGAAAGUUAGAGUUUAGCAUAUAGUUUGAUAAAACCUCAUUCAUUAUGGUUUGACAAUUUUUAUUAAUAGUUCUUACAAGCGAUACUAAUCUCUAUGAUUUCUAUCAAAUCAAAAGGAUUAAGUUUUUGUUAUAAAUCAUAGAGACUAAAUUCUAUCAUUUUAAAACUGUAGAGACCAAAUUUUUAAUUUAACCUAAAUUUUUACAUAAUUAUUAUUAGGAGUUUUUCAAGAAUAAUGAAAAGAACCCAUUACACUUGAUUUUGCCAUAAAGUGUAACUAGUUUGUUCAUUUUGUUACUUUUGACAAUUCUCCUUAUUAUUUUGUAUUAUUAUAUAAUUUAUAAUAUAAUAUAUAAUGCGCAUUAUAUUAAAAAAAUGAAUUGUGUUUAUAACAUGAUAUAUUGUAUUUUAAAAGUUAAUUUACAUAAAUGUAACAACAUUCCAAAAUAUUUAGGACUCAUAUAACAAAAUAAAAAGUCUAUGAAAUCGGUCAUUUUUUUAAAUAUUCCAGGUUUGCUCUUGCCUCUUUUGAAUUUUGCGCGACUUCAAUUUCUUUCUUUUUCCUUUCCAUCUUCUUCACAGUGGUGUUCUCCUUCUCCUUUUUAUGCAAUUUUUAUUUUUUUUUUUUUAUAUCAUGAUCAUUGUUCUACUAUCAUUAUUGUUCUUUUUCAUUAUACUUCUACUGUUAUUAUCUUUGUUUUCAAUCAGUCAUCAAUCUUAUAUAAUUUUUUCAAUGUGUCAUGGACAGAGAUGAACUACAUGUUGGAAUUUAUGUCCUAAAACUCGUAGUUUGAUAUUAUGUUUUAUUCAAUAAAAUUGUUAUUGAUACAAUAAUUUUAAAGCUAAUAAACUAAGGUUCCGAUGCUAAUUUUGAGUAAACUUGAACUUUAUGUAGAGACAUAAAUGUGAAUCAAUUUCAAGUAUAUAGCAUAAAUGGUCUAUAAUAUACGAAUAAGGUUAAACACCUUAUUCUUGUGACACUAUGGAUGUGACUCACUUUGUAGUUAGUACAAACGACGUAAUCUUGAAUCGUCCAUGUAGAGACAUGGAAGUAGGAGAAUUCUAUGUAGGGGCAACUUAACAGCACUAGCCUAAUAAGCCUCCCAUGUUAGGGGUAAGACUGUGUGGAUAACUAGGGACAUAGGGAGCAAGACGAAAUUCACUCUUAUUCGUUUUAGGGAUAGUAGAUAGGUUGUUCCCUUCAGGACUGAAUUCAUGUCUUGAACAAGGGGCACCACCUUCUCAUUGGCCCAAGAGAGAUUUUCGAUUGAUAGGUUAGACCUAAAACCAAUUGUUCAAUAGUGGAUCAUUGGAACCUAAGGAAUAGGAUGUAAUCUCAAAGGUAAAACAAUACAUUGACCUAUAUGAGAUUACGAACAACCUGUGAAUGACUAACUUACUUAUCAUGGUUAUUGAAAGGAUGAGAGCCCUACACAACGAAAGAUUUAAACAGAGACCAUAAACUCAAUUUAAUGGGAACUUAAAAACACUAGCAUUGGUAAAAUAAAAUAGAAAAAAAAAAUCUAAAUUACUAUAAGGCUAAGCAUGCUUUCAAAAUAAAAAUAGAAAUUACAGAGACAAAAACUUACUUUCAUUGACGACUCAAAAUUGAAUUUUGGAUGUCACAACUUGGAGACCUCCCUAUUCUCUGAGUAGAGACUGAUUUGUGGAAACCAAAAUUGGGAAGGAGAUUUUUGGAGAAUUUAACAAAAUGAAUUCUCAGUACGCAAAAAAAAAAAAAAAAAAAAAUCAGAGCUAUUUUGUCAAUCCUUUUUGCCGUAUUAAUAACUCUCUCUUCUUUAGUUAAAGUUCGAGAUAAUAUGGGCACGUGGAAAAAUUAAUAAUUAAUUAAAUCAUAUUUAAAUGAAUAUCUUUCACACAACCUAUAAUUUUGAUUUAAUCAAAAUUAAAUCAAAUCAUAUUAAACUAUUAAUUAAUUCUACAGUUAAUUAGUUUCUAAAUUAAAUAUCUUAUAUUAAAUUUAAUUCAAAUUUGAAUCAUAUUUAAAUAUAAAUUUCUCUCAUCACCUAUAGUUUUAAUUUGUAUCAUAUACGCAUUAAAUUUUAACCUAUAGUUUUAAUAUGAAUCUAAUUCAUAUUAAAUUAAUAUUUGAACUCAUUCAAAUAUUUUAUUCUCUUAUAAAUUAAUUUUGGAUCAUAUCCAAAAUUAAAUUUAUAUAAUAAAGUUUAAUUAAAAUAUAAACUUUAUAUUAUAAUGUAUCAUCAUACAUCAUAUUAAUUCCCAAAGUGAAUUUGAAUAUUUCAAAUUACAACCAAUACAAAUAAACCUCAUUAUCUUUACGAGCUAAGAAAGGGACCUAAUGGACCAACAAAUAAGAAGCUACAACGAUAUGAGAUUAAUUGGUUAAACUCAUUAAUCACAUUAAUCAAUAAAAGUUAAUUGUGUGUACACUUCAUUGAAGACUCACAACUGAACUCUUCUCACUAUAGAUAUAUUUCCGUGUCCACGAGUAUAGACUUAUCUACUUACCUUAAAGUUGGAAAUGAGUGAAUUAGAUCUUGUGUGAUUAUGUUUCCAACUGCCCACUCGGUCUUGUUCAUGAAAUGAUAAGCAUAUUGAGUCGGCAAUCUGGCCACUCUCACCCAUACAAAUCAAGGACAAUUCCUUGUGAACAUGAGUUCAUAAUACACUUAGGAUUAAUACUAAGUUACCUAGGUCAUCCUAAUGAAAUAGAAACCCAACUAGUUAAUGAAGUUACAUCUAGUGGUUACUAUUUUGUGGUUUGGCCUUAUGCAAACUCAUUGCAAAUGAUAUCCUUGAUAACGUGUAGAAAUACAAGUUAUUGUAGCUUUUAAAGUAAAACAAUAAAGUCUUAUCGCAUGAAAAUAGAAGAAAACAGAGAGAGAAAAUAGGCGAUUUGAUUAUUAUGGGAAUAGUAUAACACAAAUGAACUUCAUCCCUGUUUUACUACAAUUCAGUGCUCUUAUCGCAGGAUUCUAAGUGAAGAAGAGUGAAGCUCAACGAGUAGCACGUUGUAUGCGGAAGACCUAGCCAACCUCUUUUGCACGAGGAAGUAGACCUAGCCAAAAGAGGUUGGCGAGAUAGUCAAAAAAGGAUAAAUGAGCAUACUACGCAGUACAACUACAAAUUUUCAGAGAUCUUAAUGGCGCAUGCUGGCAUGUCAACAUUACUCCAUGUAUUAAAUAGGGCUUCUCACUUCAGAACAAGGUAUGCACAAUUGGUCAGAAAAAGCAAGCUCCUCAUAUCGUCCAUUCUUCUCCCCUAUCUUGAGUUUUAGGUGAGAGUUUAAAGCAAAAAGAGAGAGAUUCAUCCCUUCCAUUGUCCCUCUCAUCUAUAGGCAAAAAUCAGAGCCAAAGAAGAUGAGAGAUCAAACUCUGCGACGUAAUACAUAUGUUGUAUUUCCAUUUUUUAUUUUCUAUAUUGUAUUGUUUUGUAAGAAGAACCUCAUGGACGAAAGGCCUAAAGUAUUGAUAAAUGUAUUUAAGCUUCGGUUUUAUAACAAAAAUGUUUAUGAAAACCUAUUUUCUAAAACUGUUGCUCACUAAGUUUUUUGACUUAUCCUUUCAAAAUGUUUUUCCUUCUUUCCAGGUAUAGAUUGUGACUCUCCACGUGUUGAACAUGCUACUGCCAGGCCAAGUAAAUUUUUAGAUACAAAAGAAUACGUUAAUAAUAGAAGUAUCAUUGUGUUGUAUUAAGAGUUUACAUCUUCACGUUUUAUACAUUUAUAAAAGGCAUUUCAAAUGGAUUAUACUACAGUUUUAAAAGAUUUCAAAGUUUAAAGACUACCGCUAUUAAAUGUUUUACUCGUAUUCAAGUCAAUAGCCAAUUGAAGUUGUUCCAGAGGUGAAUGACUUCAGCUGACAUCACGCCACAUCUCAAGCUGAGAAAGCAGCUGCUCAAGGUGGGGCGUGACAUAAUAUGACUAAUAUGUUAUGAUGCAUGAUAUAUUAAUCGUAUGAUUGAUAUUCAUGUCAUGUUAUGAUAUUUAUGAUAUGCUACAUGCUAUGGACUGUGGUGUUCUAUUGACUUUGUCUAUUAAAGUUGUACCCAUAUGGGUGUCUCUAGGGAUCACCACCUUUUUAUAUUGUGUGAGUUCGACAAGACCACCAAUCUAUCAUGAUAUGUUGUAUAAGUGAUCCGACAGGGUCACUUAGAACCCGAUUCUCUAAGGUGUUCUUUCGAGUAGUUCACCGACAGACCAUAUGUGUUCUUACGAGAUCACAAGAUUGUUUGUGUUCGAGAGCACAAUAGUUUUGGUGUACUUCCCUACAAGAUCCUAAUGAAAAGUUAACAAACGCCUAGCAGGACUAGUAGUGGGUUCCUUACUGAGUAUGUGUUUAUACUCACUCUUUCUAUGUUUAAUUUUUCAAGCAGAGGUAGAGGUAGAGGUAGAGAUAAAGAAAAAUUGGCGAAUGACAAGAAGUUAUCGUGACUUUCCAUAGGAAAAAGUUUAUGUUGCUUCUGCCUUCCAUGUUUUCAGUAUUUGACUUUUAAUAUUUUAUUUAAAUUUAUCAAAGUUAUGAUUUACUUUUAUGUUAUUUUUUCUUUAAAAGUUAGAUAGGGCCCGAACUAGGAUUAAAUUUUCUAGUAUUUAUUUCUAUCUUAUUAGAACUUGAAGACUGUUAAUAUAUUGUUAGUUAGUUAGAGAAACUAAAAACUGAUACUGUUACAUUUGUUUCUUUACUGUUAUCCUUGAUAACUGAUUGUAUAUACACCUAUAAAUCUCCUCAUUGUUCAUAAAUAACAUGAGUGAAAGAGUUCUUCCAUUCUUUGUUAAUAUGGUAUCAGAGCAGUUCCUCUUUCUCCAAAAGCUUCUCUCAAUCUUCCGCUAAGACUCACGAUUCAUCACCGACGGAAUGAAAACUCCAACGGUCAAUACUUCACAGAACCUGCCGGAAACUCAAGAAAAUCACAAUUUCAGUCAGUCUGAUACCUCUGCCCAAACUUCUUUCAAUCAGAAUCAAGGAUAUCUAAAUCCUUACUUUCUUCAUCACAAUGAUAAUACAAGUUUGGUGCUGGUUACAGAACAAUUGACUGAAGAAAAUUAUAUCUCUUGGAGCCGAGCAAUGACCAUUGGUCUUUCAGUGAAGAACAAGAUUGGAUUUGUUGACGAAACUAUUACCAAGCCAACCGGUGAUCUUCUCCCAGCUUGGAUCAGAAAUAAUAACAUCGUUAUCUCUUGGAUACUGAAUUCAGUGUCCAAACCCAUAUCAGCAAGCAUCUUAUUUUCAGACUCAACAAGAGCAAUAUGGAUUGACCUUAAAGAAAGAUUUCAAAAGAAGAACACGCCAAGAAUUUUUCAGUUGAAACGAUCCCUUGCAACCUUGGAGCAAAACCAAGAUACAGUUUGUAUGUAUUAUACUAAAUUCAAAACUCUUAUUGAUGAGUUGAAUACAUAUAGACCAGGUUGCACUUGCGGAACUUGCAGCUGUGAUGGUGUACGAGAAAUGACGGAUUUCCUUCAAAUGGAAUAUCUCAUGGACUUUCUUAUGGGAUUAAAUGAGAACUUCUCUCAAGCACGGGGGUCAACUUCUUCUCAUGGAUCCUCUACCAUCAACUAGCCGAGCCUUUUCUCUUCUUCUCCAAGAAGAAGAGCAAAGGUCAAUUGGAUCCCUUUCCUCUACAGCAUCAGCAAUGGCCUUUGCGGUAUCCUCUAACUCAUCCAAAAAUGGAACCAACAAUCGACAAAGGAGAGAAAGGCCCAUGUGCACCCACUGCAACACUCAUGGACACACAGUAGAUAAAUGUUAUAAGCUUCAUGGAUAUCCCCCUGGAUACAAGACCAAACAACAACAACAACGAAACAGUAACGUUGUUAAUUCAGUAGCCGCUCAAAACAGUGAGAAUAUCUCUCAAGACACCACACAGAAUAGUCAAAUGGUGAAUAAUAUCAGCAUUGCAGACACAUUAAUCCAAUGUCAAAACCUUCUCAAUCAGCUUCAGUCCCAAAUCAAUGCCUCCAACCAGAUAGCUACCUCACAUAUAGCAGGUACUUCUUAUUCAUUCCCUUUAUGGAUAAUUGAUUCUAGAGCAUCCACCCAUAUUUCUUGUUGCAAGUCCUACUUUACAUCCACUCAACCAUGCUCAACAACCAUUAGUUUACCAAAUAAACAAGUUUUUGAAGUUAAAAGUGCUGGCACCAUCAAAUUAUCCGAAUCUAUAGAGCUGAAUAAUGUCUUAUAUAUUCCUGAAUUUUCAUUCAACCUUAUAUCAGUCAGUGCCUUAACAAGAGAUCUUCCUGUGGAUGUUAGUUUCUCUACUAAUAAUUGUGUAAUUCAGGACAAGUUCGCUUUGAAGAAGAUUGGCAGUGCUGAACUUCUAUAUGGUCUAUAUGUCUUCAAAUUGAGAAAUGCCUUCAAUCUGCAAUCUCUCAUAUGUGCUGUAAACAGUGAUAAUACCUUUUUAUGGCAUCAAAGGCUUGGGCACCCCUCUGUUGAUGUUUUAAAGUCUUUACAAAGCAUGUUACAAUUGAAAUCUUUUACUUCUCACACUUGUACUACUUGUUCAUUAGCUAAGCAAAGAAGACUAAGCUUUUCUUCAAAUAAUCAUGUAUCUCCAAAUUCUUUUGACCUUAUACAUGUUGACAUUUGGGGACCUUUAUCUACUGCUACACAUGCUGGACAUACAUACUUCCUCACCAUUGUCGAUGAUGCCACACGUUUUACAUGGGUAUUCAUGCUUAAACAAAAAUCUGAUGUCAAACAGAUUAUACCUAAUUUCUUUAAGCUUAUCGAAACCCAACAUGGUAAAAUGAUUAAACAGAUGCGUUCUGACAAUGCUCCUGAACUUAUGUUCACUGAAUUCUUUAAAGAAAAAGGAGUGCUGCACCAGUUCUCUUGCGUGAACUGUCCUCAGCAGAACUCUUGGUUGAAAGGAAACAUCAACACAUACUCAAUACAGCUAGAGCCUUAUUUUUCCAAUCAGGUAUUCCUCUAACCUUUUGGGGAGAAUGCAUACUAACUGCUGUUUACUUGAUCAACAGAACUCCAUCAAAAAUGUUGAACUGGAAAUCUCCAUUCCAACUGCUCAACAACAACAAACCUGAUUACAAUAACCUAAAGGUGUUCGGGUCCUUAUGUUAUGCUUCAACUCUGCCAACAAUCGCUCUAAGUUUCAACCAAGAGCAAUACCAGCUGUCUUUAUUGGCUAUCCACAAGGCAUGAAAGCAUACAAACUAUACAACAUUGAUCAACAAAAAUUCUUUACCUCAAGGGAUGUAAUAUUUCGUGAAGAAGUCUUUCCUUUCAAAGGUUCACCCGUAUCACAGCCCAUGGAAGACACUUUACCAAGUUUUUCUUUACCUAAAGUCUUUCAUGAAUCCCCAAUCGAUCUCAUGAAUCCCUCAACCAAUAUGCCCUCACCCCCCCCUCACACCAAAUACAAACAAUGACAGCACCUCACAGACUAUCCAAUCCACAAAUAACCCAACCAAUGAUAGUACCUCAUCAACCCAACAGCCUGAACAAAAUAUUUCUGAGACUUCUAACAAUCCUACAGUUAGAAGAUCUACUCGAAUCAGCAAACAACCUUCUUAUCUCCAAGCUUAUCAUUGCAAUCUUCUUACAUCACAACCUCACCAACCAAGCUCCACAAAAUACCCUUUAAGCCAGUACAUAUCAUACCAAAAUCUAUCCCACUCCUUUAAACAUUCUGUACUCCAAGCCUCUACCUUACAUGAACCAAACUUCUACCAUGAGGCUGUCAUACAUGAUGACUGGAGAAAGGCCAUGGAAAUUGAACUGAAAGCCAUGGAGACGAAUCAAACAUGGAGUAUGGUUCCUCUACCAGCCGGCAAGAAUACUGUGGGAUGUCGAUGGAUAUAUAAAAUUAAACACAAAGUUGAUGGAUCUGUUGAAAGGUAUAAGGCGAGACUCGUUGCAAAAGGAUACACACAGCAAGAAGGUCUUGAUUAUUUCGAAACCUUCUCACCGGUAGCCAAAAUGGUGACUGUUAAAACCUUGCUAACUAUAGCAGUAUCAAAAGAUUGGCAUUUACUUCAAUUAGAUGUGAACAAUGCAUUUCUUCAUGGAGACUUAUUUGAAGAAGUAUACAUGGACUUGCCAUUGGGUUAUAAACCGAACCUCACCAUUCAAGGGGAGAAAAUGGUGUGCAAACUUCACAAAUCUAUAUAUGGACUAAAACAGGCCUCACGUCAAUAGUUUGCCAAAUUCUCCCAAUUCCUCAUUUCAAUAGGUUUUCAACAGUCCAAGGCUGACUAUUCUCUUUUUGUAAAAGGCCAAGGUACCAGCUUUAUAGCUCUACUUGUCUAUGUUGAUGAUAUUAUCAUCACUGGAGCAAACGUUGAUCUUAUUCAAAGAUUACGAAAUGUGCUCAAUCAAAAGUUUCUGCUUAAAGACUUGGGAUCCCUCAAAUUCUUCUUUGGUCUUGAAUUAGCCCGUAUAUCAACUGGUAUCCUAUUGUCACAAAGACACUAUGCACUACGCUUGCUAGAAGAAACUGGUUUGCUUGGUGCUAAACCAGCAUCAGUACCUAUGGAUUCGAAAAUCAAGUUAAAAGCCUCUGACAAAGACCUUCUUCAAGAUCCAAGUACUUAUCGAAGAUUAAUUGGGAAACUUCUAUACUUAACCAUUUCAAGACCGGACAUCACGUUUGUUGUUCAUAAACUCAGCCAAUUCAUGGCAAAAUGACAAGACUCAUAUGAAUGCAGCUAAUUAUCUUUUGAGAUACAUCAAAGGAUCACCAGGCCAAGGAAUAUUUCUGUCCAAAACAGAUGAUCUAUCCUUAAAAGCAUUUGCAGAUGCUGAUUGGGGAUCAUGUCCUGAUACCCGUCGUUCAGUCAUCGGAUUUUGUGUCUUCCUUGGAAAAUCACUUGUAUCAUGGAAGUCAAAGAAACAGCAAACAGUCUCACGGUCAUCAGCUGAAGCAGAGUACCGAGCAUUGGCCACUGUUUCUUGUGAAGUUACAGAUAGAAACAAAUACACAAACUGUAGUGUUUUGUGAUAACCAAGCUGCCAUUUACAUCGCCAAUAAUCUCAUGUUUCAUGAAAGAACGAAACAUAUAGAGUUGGACUGCCACUUUGUUCGAGAUAGAAUUGUUGAUGGAUCCAUCAAACUACUCCUUGUACGCUCUUCACAUCAACUUGCUGAUGCCCUCACUAAACCACUUAAUGUCAUAACUUUGUCUCUUCAUAUGUGCAAGAUGAGAGUUAAAAAUAUUUUUUCUCCAUCUUGAGGGGGAGUAUUAGAACUUGAAGACUGUUAAUAUACUGUUAGUUAGUUAGAGAAACUAAAAACUGAUACUGUUACAUUUGUUUCUUUACUGUUAUCCUUGAUAACUGAUUGUACAUACACCUAUAAAUCUCCUCAUUGUUCAUAAAUAAAAUGAGUGAAAGAGUUCUUCCAUUCUUUGUUAAUAUAUCUUUCCAAAUUAUGAAUUAUAAAUGACUAUUUGAAAUUCUUUAUUUAAGAACUUGGUUUUCUCUUUUUCAUUUAAAGAAAAUAAUUUUUUUUAUUUAUUUUAGUAGUAAUGACAUCAGCUUAGUACAAGAAGUUGUUGGAAUAAAUGGUUAUGAUUUUUCAUGAAUGGAUGCAUCAUGAGUGGAUGCAUCAUUUCAUGAAAAGUGUUAUUAACUAUAGGACAUGACUUUUCAAAUGACCACGAAAAGUCUAUAAAUAAGUCAUUUUGAUUGAGAGAAAUAAACACAUCAAAAUCAUUUGUUUUCUAUAAACAAACUUCUCUCCAUAUCCAUAAUCUUGACGUUCGGUAGAUUCACAAGGUUUCGGUAGACUCACAAGAUUUCGUUCGUAUAUCUUCUAUACGAGGUGCUACACUUAGAAGAAAGUUGAUCUAUCUAUCCUAGGAGGCAGUUGCUCUAAAUUCUCAAGCACUAGGGUGAGUAAAUUUGUCUUAAGUAGACAACGUGAAUUCGUUGGGCUCAUAUCUAUAUUUAUGUAUGAUUUUUUGUUCACUGUGAUAAUAAUUUACAUAACAAUUUGAUAAUCUGUAUAACAAUCUUAAGACAAAUUUAAUUUACAAAUGUUUUUGUAUGGAUGCUUUUACAUGCUUAUGUAUUUCUUAGAUUAAUAAGAUUAAUUUCUGCAUUUGAAGUCUUAUUUUUUUCAGAUUAUCAAACACUUUUAAAAUCAUAUAUGUAUAAGUUUUUUUAAAAAAAUUAUAUAAAGAUUACUUAUCCAUUUAUCUCAUUUUUAUGUUGGGUUGUCAAGAAGAAUAGCAAAUUAUGAGUUUUACUUUGGAAAAAUAGAAAAAAUAAUUUUAAAUUGUUAGAAUAGCAAAACAUAAAAAUUAGACAAAUAAAUAAAUGAAACAAUUCUUCAAAUGCUCCUAUCCAAUAUGAAAAAUACAAUUGUUCACCUAAACCCAAAAUACACAGUAAUUGAAUAAUAUAUGCUACAUAAAAAUUCUCCAAAAAAUGUAAAGAUUAGAAAAGUUGUUAUUAUUGGAAAAAGCUUAACCGGUUCAUCUUCCUCUUCCUCUUCUCCCUUAUUAGCAAUUUAACAGGAUUUUGAUUCAAUUUUCAAAAACACGAAAGAGAAACGUGGUUCAAUCAGCUCUAACAAGAAAUCAUGAAAUCCGACGAAAUUUCUUUGGGUCAAAACCUCUCAAACUUUCUCAGAUUGAACAACGUAGUGAUGAUAUUCGACAAGAAUCACCCACUUCUUCUUCAAUUCAUAGAAUUCGCCACAACAUUUGACAGAAAAAAAUGGGGACACAAUUGAACUUCUUCUUCAAUUCUUCUCUCAUUUUGUUUGUCUCUUGUCGGCUGCCCCCCUCUCAAUUUCUUCUUUUCUUUUAUCUAAUAAAACCUAAAAGAAGAAGAUUCAAAUAAUUACAAAAAUGCCAAUGAAGCAUAAUUAUAAAAUUCAAAUUCAAAUUGUUAUUAAAAAUAUAUAUUAAAAUUAAAUUUUAAAUUGUUAUAAAAAAUAUAUAUUAAAUUUAUUUAAUAAAUGGUUUAAAAUAUAACAAAUUGGAAAAUCUUAUAUAUAUUUGUCAAUAUUAUAGGAGAGGUUGUUGCAAUCUUGUCUACCAACAAAAUAGCAAAUUUAGUACCAAAUUUAAAUGUUUUCAAUUAGGAUCUUAAAUGAAUCAUUCCAUUGAAGUUUUAAUUUUAAUUUAUUAUUAUGUUAAAUUAACAAUUUUAUGAAAGGAUAGUUAAAUGCAUAAUUAUAGAGAAAAAAAUGCAAUCUUAAUAUGAAGUUGUUAUUAUAUCAAAUGACAUUGAUAUAAUAUAGAGAGUAAUUGUUAUAUGCAUAAUUAUAGGGAUGAUACAAUGUUAAUAUGAAGUUAUUAUACCAUUUGCAGAAUUUUAGGGAGUGAUUCAAUUCUAAAUUCAAAUUUUGGAGAUUUUCCAACUAAACUUUUAAAAUAAAAUGAUAAAAUAAAUAUUUAUUAUUAUAUAUAUAAUCCAAACAAAAUAAAUAAUAAAUAUGUAAAAUUGUGUAUUUGUAUGAUAUAAUAAAAUGUUACAAAGAAUUAACAAAAAAAAAUUACAAAAAGUCCAAACUCAAUUGGCAAAUGGACUCAGUCCAAGCCCAACAAGCAAAUGGACUGAAGUCCAAGCAAAUGAGUCCAAGCCCACCUAAAAUCCAUAAAAUUUAUCUAUAAAUAGAGACCAUUGUCAUUCAUUUUAUGGGGUCUUUGGUUGAAGGAAGAAUUGAAGCUCUGGAGUACUGAAACAGCUCUCAAGACGUGCAAGUUCAUAUCAACCUCAAGAUCAACAACUUAUGAAAGAUUGAAGACUUUAAUCUAGUUCGUAUCAACCUCAAGAUCAACAACUUAUGAAAGAUCAACAACUUAUGAAAGAUUGAAGACUUUAAUCUAGUUCGUAUCAACCUCAAGAUCAACAACUUAUGAAAGAUCAACAACUUAUGAAAGAUUGAAGACUUUAAUCUAGUUCGUAUCAACCUCAAGAUCAACAACUUAUGAAAGAUUGAAGACUUGGAAGAUUAAACUUUCCUUGGAUUCUAGAAGAUCGAAGUUCAAAUCGAUUUGCAACUACAACAUCCUGAAGACCGAAGAUCAAGAAGUUCUAAGUUUUAACAUGUAUUCGAGAGAAAGCAUCAAAUGAGUAAAUACUAGAGAUUGUAUUCACAAUACUCAUCAAUAUAUAAAAGUUCAAUUCCAUGAAUUACAUUUAUUCAAAAUCUCGUAUGAACAACACGUCAUUAAUCUACCAUAGAUGCGUGUGUAAUUCUUCUUCUAAACAAUCAUGAUACACGAUCAUGUAGAUGCGUGUGUAAUUCUUCUUCUAAACAAUCAUGAUACACGAUCAUGUAGAUGCGUGUGUAAUUCUUCUUCUAAACAAUCAUGUAAUUCUUUUUAACGAUGUAAAAACUUAUUCGUGUAAUACAUAUUAUAAAAGGUCAUGAUACACGAUCGUUUAGGGAAGAUACACGAUCAUAUAGUUUAUUCUUAACAAUAAAAAAAUGUUUUGUGUAAUUCUUCUUUUAAACGAUUAUGAUAUGUGAUCAUGUAGGAAAUUAUACAUGAUCAUAUAGGUCAUUUUAACAAUGAGAAAAUGUUUCAAAUCUAAACAAUCGUUGAGAUCAUAUCAAAGUGAUUUUUAAACAAUCUUUAUAUUUUGAAAAAUGAAGAAAGAAAGAAAGAAAAAUAAGAUAAAUAAAAAUAGAAGAAAGAAAACCUAAAAGAAGAUUUGAAGAAGUUAAGAAGAGAAGAUGAAUAAAUUCCAGAAAAGAAGAAGAAAGAAAAGUGAUGAGUUGUCCGUAAUAUUAAAAGUUUUUUUAUUUUGUUACACGGAAAGUAAAUAAUUUAAUGUUUUGUUAUAUUUAUAAAAGUUUACCUUAAAAAAUAUUAUAUAUAUAUAUAUACACACACAAAAGUUUAAUAAAGAAAUGAAAAAAAAUAAAUUAAUAAAUAUGAAAAAUUAAUAGAGUUAAGAAAAAAAUUAAGACAAGUUAAGAAAUAUAUAUAUAUAUAUAUAUAUAUAUAUAUAUAUAUAUAUAUAUAUAUAUAUAUAAAGAAAUAAAAAAUAUCACGAAAGUUGGGAAUAGAAACUUAAGUCAGGGCCUUGGGCCUCGGGCCUCGGGCCUUGGGCCGAAUAAGAACUAAUUAGCUAACUAGAGAUUUUGAGAAAAAGAAGAAAUAGAAUCAAAUAAGAAUCAGUGAAAUAAGAGAAACUACUUCUGGUGUUUUCUCUAAUUUUGUAGAAUUUUUAAAUUUUAAGAAUGAAAAACGAGAAUAAUUAUCAAACACAUUUUUUUAGAAAAUGAGUUUAUCAAAUAGACCUUAAAAAAAAAGACUAAUAGUGAUUUUUAGCUAAAUAGCAAAGGUUGAAUGGGUAGAACAUAUCAUUUUGGCUUCUUUUCUUGCAUAAUUGUAAUCAUUCCUCAUUUACAACUUGUAAAUGAACUAACUCACAAACACUAAAACUUCGUUCUGAUCAACCUUCUUUUUUAUUUAAAAAAAAGAUUUAAAAAGUUAAUCUAAAGAUGCUCUAGCAAUAACUCAAACAUGUUUCAAUUCAAUGUAAUAAUUCCAAGUCAGUAACAGUUUAUUAAAAAGAAAAGUAAAACUUUGCUUACCCUAAUUAAACCUUUCCAAGUGGCAUUUUUCAUAAAUAAACAUAAAAAUUGACCCUAAACACAUUUUAAUUUAGUUCAAAUUAUACUUAAAUACAUUGAUUGUGCUCCAUUUGUGGGCAUUCCAGUGAAUGAGAUGAUGAGAAAAAACAUAUGGGCCAAGCGGAGGCCAAGAAAUAGAGAGAUGCCAGUAGUUGGAAGGGAAAUUGUGAAGAAAGAAAUCAGAAAAACAUAUUUAUUAUGACAUGAAUAGAGAAUUAGAUUACAACAUUAAUGACAGAUGUUGGCUGCUACAUUACACCCUUAGAUUUAAAUUUAUGGCCCCCACAGUACACACUCAAUCCUAAUUAAAUUCCUCCUCUUGACUACCAUAUAUAUAUAUAUAUAUAUAUAUAUAUAUAUAUAUAUAUCUCCCAGCCAUAUUAUUAAAUGAUAUGGUCGAAUGAAAUUUAAACAUACAACAUUCACCUAAACUUCAAUUUCAAUGUUCCAUCUAUACAUCUCCUCUGUUGGGAUAGGAAUUUCGAAGGUCACUAACCCUGUCACAUCGUCGUACACAAAGUCCGUACCCACCUUGUCCACACUACAUUUCAGAGGCCGUUGGGACGAGUAUAAACCGAACCUUCCGCAUCCUCGGGCUUUCAUGGUGAUAGUGGCCGUUGGAGGUCGAUCAUCAGGGAGAGAACAUGUUAGCUCAGAAGCAACUUCACCAUCGAACUCUGGUAUUGGUUCGACCACUUGGAUAUCGACUUGCUCGACAGCACCGCCGAUGUUGAACAUGUCAACUAGACCGAUUGGGGCAAACGAGAUGUUUGAGGUGAUGUCCUAUAGACCAAAAGAACAUUAUAGUGAAUCCACAAAACAAGUUGAUAAACAAAGAAGAAAAUGAAGGAUGGGAGUGGAGGAGGUACAUACCUUCAGAGGAGAAAUAUGGAAAAGAUCGUAUUCUAAAACUUUGAGGGUAACAGGAACUGAAGCACCUUUUGGCAAUCGAGUCAAAUCUCCUGAAAAACAAAUCAAAUUCCUUUUGUUAGAAUUUCUUUUCCUAUUUCUAACUAACACAAGAAAACCCAUCAUGAAUCUUGGUUAUAAAGAGUGAUAUAUCCAUGUACCUGAUCGAUAGGCAUAAACGAUAGUAUCACCCUUCCAAUCGGCACCUGCAACUUGUGAAAUAGCAUCAACAUCAGCUGCACGGACAGAGGUAGUUAGGGUACCCGGAGACUCAUCGUGAAUGCGAGUCUUCUUUGUGAUCCUGCACCAGCCGGCACCUUGGCAAUUGAAUACUCCAACAACACCAGAGCAUUUGUUCAUAUUCCAAAUUUUG